rnacentral:lncRNA from 1 species
UUCACAUAUCUAGCCUGAACAAUACAAUAAAUACCCUACUCCUGUAAUGUUUAUUGUGUUUGUUUUUGUCCAACGACGAGGUAAAUAAUAAUCACAUGUUCACCAAGCUAAGGUAAGCUAGCUAGGUGCUUGAGCAACACACUUCUUUCAUCAGUUCUCCUCCACCACCAUCACCAUGUAUAUAUAUAUAUAUAUAUAUAUAUAUAUAUAUAUAUAUAUAUAUAUAUAUAUAUGCAAGCUCAAUCCGUAAUAAGGAGCUUGCGUGGACGAAUCCAAAUGAUGAGUUGAGACGAAAUCGGACGGUAGAUGCGCUGCUCGUUUUAGUUUACCACAAUUAAGUCGAUCUGUGCGUGUAGCUUCUCCGCCUCAGCUGCAGCCGCCGGCGGCGAACCCGAUCUUGCUGUUCUUGACGUCGUAGACGACGCUGAACGUCUGCUGCUGCGUGUUCCCGAUGAUGGCGGCGCUCCGUGCGGGCGCGAACGCCAGGCACGUGGUGGCGCUGUCCACGUCCACCAGCAGGUUGGUCGCCUUCAGCUUCAGCGCCGCGCCGCCGGCGAAGGCCAUGCUGACCUGGGGCACGCGCAGCCGCGACGCCUGGCCCUGAAAGCACGUGUCCAGGAUGGAGAAGGCCGACGCGCGGGGCGUCCCCUUCAUGGCGCCCGCCACCGCCUUACUGAGCGCCGAGUACACGUCCGUGGGCAGGCGCGUGAUCACCGUGCCGGAGUCGAUGAUGGUCGGCAGGCUGGAGUAGGCCGACGCCGACACGGAGAGCGGCUUGCCGGCGACGGUGAUCCCGGUCAUCUUGAUGAAGUAGAGCGAGUCGUCCAGCGAGCUCUUCGCCAUGGGCGUGUACGAGUACUGCCCCGGGUUGUAGGAGCCGAUGGACAGGUACCCGGACGACGACGACGACGUCGGGAGGCAGUAGGAGAAGGAGUAGCCCAUGCUCGGCGCCAGCUGGUACAGCAGCGACAGCUUGUUGCGCGCCAGGCCGAUGAGCCCCGCCGAUUGGCCGAAGAGGCCCUCGUUGUCCUGCCCACAGCCGUAGUAGAAGUUGGGCACGCUGGUGGAGCCGAACGACACGGUGUCCUUGCUGAGGUACCCGACGGAGAAGGAGCUGUCGCCGUAGCUGGCCUGGUAGAUGCAGACGUUGGAGGUGGAGCAGGUGGACGGGUUGAGCGUGGCGGUGGUGAGAGCGUCGCACUGCGGAGCGGAGCAGGACACGGAGGCGUAGGAGCUGGACGACCUGGGGUUGAACACGGGGCCGGACUGGCGGUGGCACGACACGAGGCAGGGGGAGCACUGCAGCCAGGUGAGAGAGGAACCCGUGUCCACGACCAUGACGUACGACUUGGCCGGCGUGCCGAGGCCCAUGCGGGUGACGUAGUUGCCCACGCCCACGGACGUGCCCGGGCCGAGCGGCACGGACGCGAGGGACUCGGCGUCGGGGGACGACGACGACCCGCGCCGCAGCUUGGUGGGACGCGACGACGGCGUCUUGGCAAGGCGCGCCGCGAGCGACGCGAUGCGCGCAUGGUCGUGGGUGAGCACCGCGGAGAAGGGGACGUCGGCGGGCAGCGGCGCCGGUGAGCAGGGGCUCCGCGGGUGGUGCAGCGUCAGGUGGAGCCCCGAGCUGUUGAGGUGCUGGAAAUCUGCAGUUUCAGUUUAAUUUCGACCUCCGUCAGUUAAUUAAUUCGUGCAAACUUAAUUACUGCGAUCGUGACAAGGGAAUAACGGUUUUUUUCUGCUUCACUUCAUGCAUGCCAGUGCAAGUAAAGAAACUGGUAGAACGACCUGUGCAUUUGUGUGACAAUCGCUGGUAAAAUUAUAUUACUUAUAUUUAUUAAAUAAAUAUCAUAAUGUAUGUUAGUGGAUAAUUUUUAGCAUUCUUAUAUGAACAAGUAAAUAUAUACUCCCCUCCAUCCCAAAUUAUAAGUCAUUCUAAAAAUUUUAGAGAGUCAAAGCAUCUUAAGUUUGACCAAAUCUACAUGGUAUAUUUAUGAUUUCAACUAAGUAUCAUUAGGUUCUUCAUUACUUAUAUUUUUCUAGUAUAUCUAUUUAAUGCCAUAAAAUUUGUAUUUUUUCUAUAAUUGUGGUCAAAUUUGAGAUGCUUUGACUCUCCAAGAUUCUUGGAAUGACUUACAAUUUGGGAUGGAGGGAGUAUUAGUAAAUGAUAUGUUUUCCUAAUAUGAAUAGUUUGAAUAACGAAGACAAAAUGGCAUAUGUUAAUUAGAUAUGUUAGUGGAUGUUGAUGUGUGGAUAGACACAUACUUUACAUGACGAGAUAGAUGAAUGUGCUAGUGAGAUGUUAUAGUGAAUGCUAAUGUAGACAUUUUGCAUGAGAAGAAAUUUAAUAGUGAGAUUUAUCUUUAUAAGAGAUAUAUGGAUAUAUGGAUUAAAGACAUCCCUUGCUAUUUCUUCAGUUCGUCUUUUCGAUCAGGUGCAUUAUUAUCGUCACCACGACACGGAACACGUACGCAUGCACUAAGCCUAGCUACCGCACCAGUUGCUGUCGUGCAGUUUGUAGCCUUUAUAUGAUUAGAUAGUGAUGAUGCAGCAUAUAUAUAAUGUUCCGACUUCUGACAUCUUACCAAACGGGGCCACGCGUGGCCAAAUAUAAGGGCGAAUACAAUCAUGUAUAUAUAUACUGUAGUAGUACAAUGACAUGCUAGUUCUUUUUUUAAAAAAAUAUAUACAUAUAUAUAUCUAUAGUACUAGUUUGCCGUGAAUUUGGACAAGUGUUUUAUAUUGACGUCUUGAAAUCUUCAGAGCAGUCAUCGGUUUUCGAACGAACUGGCAUGACCAGGCAAAGGCAUGAUCUACAUAAGAUUAUUGUUUGUCCUCCUACAGUCCAGCUUAUCAUUUCCAAGGAGAUCGAAGUUUCGGAUCACAUGAUCGAACAGAAGCAUGCAAGAAUACUUUAUUUUACAGGUUGGGACGAGUUGCUUUGUAAGUGUAAUCAUGCACACGACGUGAUACAGGUAUAUAUAUACAGGGUAACGUAUAUGUACCAUGUACGUACAACUACAGCUUGAUGAGUAGUACUCUCUCACGAGGACGGCUUUAUACCUUAGAGCGUAGCUAAUUAAAGGAUGUGCGCAUCAGCUGGUUGAUUGUAAUCGUAUUAAAUUCCAUCCAAGACGUGUUAAGUUGAGGUAGUUGGCAGAGAAGCUAUUAUUGACAUGAAAUUGUGAACCAUACGGCGCCUACUUCCAUGGCUAAUAAAACAUCAAAAUUUUCCUAUUUUUCACAUGUAUUUAGUACUCCGAUCCUACCCUGUAGACAAUUUGGAUAACCACCAUGAUACUUCAGCUGUUAAGCUUGAGACAUGUUCGAUUCAUAGAACACAUUGUAGUUCUAGCCACUUAUUUUGAACAGUUAAGUUUGGUACUACUCAUGGUCACUAGAGAUUACGUAAAUCUUUUUCUUUACGUAUGCUAAUGCAUGCAGUUGGUAUAGUUAACAAGAUAUUGAUACGGUCCUAACGGAAAAAAGAAAAAAAAUCAUUGUGCUAAAUGGCCAGCAACAGGUUAAUUGGAGUGGUUGUCGGCUAGUCACAAGGUGCCAUCCAUUUGAACACGCCUAUCUUGGUAGGCAUGAUGCCACCAAUCAUACUGUGCACAGUAUGUUUUUAAUUGUGUGUGAGAGAGAAAAAAACAGCAGAAAACAUGCACAAAAGAUAAGUCCCCAGCAAGACAACGACGAAGACUGCACUGCUGCUACACUUCCACCACACUGAUGAAUGGAUCGCUUGUAGAACCAAUCAGUUGAUAUUGUUAAUCACUUGUAUUUGCAAGAGAAGGCAGGACCACUGCAAAGCAGGGAUGGCUCUAGCUAUGCCCACAGCACAUUUCUGGUCGGCAUGAUGCCACUAUGCCGCCAGCGUGUGGGUACACACAGACGGACACAGGCACGGAUUCAUGGCGAAGAAAGGGGAAAUUGAAGGAGGCGUCUUCACCGCGAUCGGCAUUGAAAACCAUGCAUGUCUGUCCGGUGACGUUUCCGACGCAGACGAGUGCAUUGGCAGCGGCUGCCCACUUCGACGGCCAUCCCCCAUCCUUUGCGGACGUGAUAGAUACGGUGGUUGGCUUGGCGGUGGGGGCGAUUGAUUGGCUUCGUUCACGGGUGGAAGGAACAAGAACUGAUCACUUCAUGAUCUGAAUCUCAACUCGGCAUAGUGGACAGUGGAGUGGAUGGAGCCAUACGAGACAUGCAUGGCACUGAAUCGCCAUCCAUUCCAUCAGAGCCGUGUGAAUUGUGAUAGAUGGAUUCCAAAAAGGCGAUAAAUUAAAGCCUCUAGAUUUCAUCUCUUGUCAGGAUAAGUUAGUUGGUCAAAAUGGCUGUUGCCAAAGAAACCCUUGUGUGCUACGCUAUGCAUAUGCAUGUCGGCAGAAGCAGACAUAACAUCCGGGUGAUAGAUUAGCCUAUGUUCGGCAUCAAAUGGACGGCGUGUCUCCUCAACUGUUUCGAGUCAAAAGAAGAAGAAAUUCGAUGGUGUACAUGUGACUCACACCAACCAGACAGGCUAAUCAGAAGCACAAGGGUAAGCACCGAUUGGCCGUCAGAAACAAAAUACAUGCCUAACUAUGGACGCUGGCUUUUGCGUGGUGCUAGUGGCGAUGGAACCAUGCAUAAAAGUAGUAUGCAUAAUCUACUACUAGUAGUACGGACAUACGUGUACCUAACAUACUUUUAUACUGUUUGUCGGAAAUAUUUUUUUUCCCUGCGAGUGCUGAGAAGAUUCGAGCAUCAGUCCUUUGGCUCCCACCCUAGCUGUCAGCUUUCGUUCAGUUAUUACUAGUUGCUUUAGUAUGCCUGUCGUGGACAAGGCAACAGGUUCAACCUCGCCCUGCUUGAAAAAAAAAUGUUUUUGCACACGAACAAUUCAGAUCGAACUAUGGUUUUCGCCACCAUAGUUUCAGGUUUGUCUGGAGAUCAUGAAUCUAGCGUCGCCGAUAAGUUCGCUUAAUUUGUAAGAUGAAACAAAAACAGUACCGCCUAAGUUCAGUACUACACUACUAUUAGAUGCAGAAAGUAUCGUUUACGAGUCUGAUCAGUUACAUGCAGAAAAACCAGAGCAAGCAAACGCAAGAGUUAUCAGAAAAAACAUAUGAAUAAAUAACGCAUAAAGAUCAGGAGCAGUACCCUUUACUUGUGACGAGCAAGCAUCGGUGAUGUCUCUGAUAGGAGUGGCCACUGCGAAGAGCAGCGAGAGGGCAAGAAGCCGAAGCAGCGCCAUCUUAUCCGACAGCAGCUUCCUUGAGGUGUCUGUGGCCUGCGGCUCUAUGACGCUAAGCCCGGCCACCUCGCGGCCUUUUUAUAGAGAUAGAGAGAGAUUCCGAUGGUGCGCUGCGCGCUUCCUGCUUGGGAGUUGGGAAUCCCCGCGGUAGCUUUCAGUCUCACUCAUCAGCGGUUGAAAAACCAUCCGUUUUAAUCCAGUCCAACCACCUGAGUACCACUGCUGCUUUCAUAGUUCUGUAACUGCUUUUCUCUGCUGAGAGAUCAUAUCAUAUCAAUUCAGGCAUCAGACUUUUGUUUCCAUCUUCUUCUUGUUUUCAUUUUUCGAUGCAUUUCUCUGAUUGGAAGCUUCUGACGAUGCCGUAUGCCCAUGGAUUGUACCGGUAUUGUUGCCUUGAGAAUUAGGACUGUUGUUGCCCUGUGAUGUGUACAGCGAGAUGGUAAGAGCAAAAGUAGCUGCUUUUCUGCAGCCCAAAGCCAAGGUAGGUGCACAAUUAUGAAGCCGCCUUCUACUAACCAUGCCCAAUUUAGCUGGCGGUUAAGCGCACCUGUCAGUCUAAACAGCACUCUCAAACAGUUAUAAAUGGCGUCCAACAUCACCCGUACUAGCUUUGACAGAUGCUUGGUAGACCGAUCGAGGUGGUUACCAAAUGCUAUGCAUUAGUGGGUUCAGCUCUUGGUGCUGGAUCGGCGACUGUUUCUCGUUUAAUUGAAAUCGGUAGAGCUCCUGCCAGCAUGAAAAUAGGGUAUACUCCGUAUACUGUAGCUGUCACUAGCAAGUAUAAGGGCACUCCCAAUGCAAGACUCUAUCACAGAGUCCAACGCAAUUAAUUACAUAUUAUUUAUGGUAUUUUGCUGAUGUGGCACCAUAUUUAUUGAAGAAAGAGGUAGAAAAAAUAAGACUCCAAGUCUUAUUUAGACUCCAAGUCCACAUUGUUCGAGGUAAUAAAUAGCUUUAGACUCCAUGAUAGAGUCUGCAUUGUGAGUGCCCUAAUUGCCUCUGACUGAUAUCCACUUGAGGUUAUCAGCCGAAUCUGUUAGCCAUUCAGUAGUGUUUUUCUCUCACAAUAAAUCAGCCAGCAGUACUUUCUGCCGCCAAACAAACAAGGCGAGGUCAGAGCUAUACUCCAGUUUCAGUCUCAUUCUGGCUUCAGAUUUCAUUUCAGGACGACAGAGAAAAAGGUGAAAGUGACCUGCAUGCUACUAAUCGAUCUGUAAUCAACCGGGGCAUCAUAUCAUAUAUAGAUAGAGUGUAAUCAUGUUCAGCACUGAGUGAGUUGCAGUGGUUGCACAAGAAAAGAGAAUCUAGGUAGCCAGCAUCUGCAUCUGAUUAGCCGGUGACGGAAUCUUUUCAUCGGAAGGAAGCUUCAGCCUGACGCCUCCUCCGACUCCCAUGUUCCCGCCCGUUCCCUCGUUGGAACAUAUGGCUGCUAAGCUCCGACGACUCCGAUCGGACUCACCACCGCAGCACACGCACCGCAACCGCGACGCACUGCUGCUGCCCUCAGGGAAUGACAGGCAGGCGCCGAGCUGAGGGGGCGCACCAACCGGCGACACCAGCACCAGCAACGGAAGCGGCCAUCUCACCAACCACAUGAGCUGUUCGGCUGUGUCCGCCGCGCGUGGCGGGCGCGCGGCCUCACCGAUGAUCCGACGAUCCAUCCAUCGCCAUUCGCCAGGCAGCUCCAUCUCCAUCGGGCAUCGAUCUCGGUGGCCGAUAAAUAAAGUUGCGCGGCCGUGCGCCGAAAAUUCGUCGCCGCUCAUCAAAGGCGAGGAAGAAAAGGAUGCGCGCGCGCACAGCGUGGCGUGGCCUCCAGGUAGCGCGAUGUAUACAUAUGGCGCGGUGCGCCGGUGCGGCGAGAAUUUAUUAUGGGUACACAUAACUUGUGUUUAGGGACACAGCUUGUUUUUUUAAUAAACUAAUAAAAUUGGCACAGCAUGCUUUAGAUGCAUAGUAUGGUUGUAGAGAAUGCUGCAUGCCACAUCAAUAAGCACGGUAUUCAAUUCAAACCCUAGGACGCAAACAAGCGCUUAAACUGGCUCAUAUUAGCACGCUCAUCUAACAUAGUUAGAAACUUUAGCUUUUUUUGCGAUCAGAAACUUAAGCAUUUUAUCCACCUUUUAAGUACAGGCACCUACACUGUACAAUUUGUCGUGUAUGCACAGGCACCUACACUAUGCUUCGUACUGACUCUACUGAUGAGUUUGCUGAGGUGCGUGUUGUGCCAGACGAUGUUUUGGCAUGGUAAACUCCAAAUGAAUAGUGAUGGUACGUACGAAGAAAUCUAAGGGAGCAACUAGUGCAAGUGCAAUCCUAUUAGUCUUCUUCCAUUCCUUUUUUUUAUUUAGAAAAAAAAACAGUCUUCUUCAGUCCUCCUUUGAAGAUGAAUAAAACCAAUUCCAUUUUUCGUUGCCUUGUUUCUUAACCAUAUUUUAGCCCAUGGGGCAAUCAAAGUUUAGGCCAACGAGAUCAACGCUUGUUGAGCCCAUUUUUCCGUUGUUUGGGCUUGUUACCGAAGACAAAAAAAAAAGGAAAAAGAAAAUAGCUGGGUCAACAUGCCUACAAGCUACCGGUGGCUAUGCCUCUCUGGGCCAAGUAGUCGACCUGAUCCAUUAGGCUCCAUUUCAGCAGAAAUAAGCGGCCCGUUUGGAACUUUGGAUCAAUUGCUCGUUUGGUUCUUCCCUUUGUGCGGACAGUUUGGAUAUAUUUAACAGUCACUCAAUCAAGGAACAAGGAAGAUAAUGAUGUGUUUAGUUUGUGGAGUCAUGCCAUGUUUCAUGAGGUGAUGCAUCAUGAGUUCAUUCCAUGAAUUUAGAUGGAAUCAACUAGUGGCAGAGCCGGGAAUUUGUGACUGGGUAUACCAAAUAUACAAAAAUUUCGAAGCAAAGAUGUCAUAACAAAUCCACAAUAGUAACCAAAGUGCAAAAAUACCAUAAUAAAUUCAUAACAAUAACCAAAGUAUAAGUUCGAGACAUAAAUAAUUAAGAAAUAUUACAAAAUAAUGAUACCUAUUACAGGAUAACUCUACUUAUUAAUUUUUCCCCAAAUCUUGGGUAUGCCUUGGCAUACAGGGGCUCCGCCACUGGAAUCAACUCAUUCUCAUACAUAUACUAAUUAUUAGUUUGUGAGAAAUGAGGUGGUGAUGGAUUAACUUGUUCCAUUCCACAAACCAAAUACAAAAGUGAGGAGUAAGAAGAAGAUGGGUUAUCUCAUUACUUAAAUCAAACACACCCUAAAGGCCUUGUAGUAUUACUGUAUGAGGACUUCAAGCAUCAAAAAAUGUUUUUUUAGAAAAUAAAUUUUUUUAUAGCCUCGGCAAAAAAAAUUGUAUAUAAUAAAAAUUAUUAUUAUAGUUUGAGCCUCCAGUUGUUCUUUAAAAAAAUGUCAUAAAAAGGGAUCAAUCAUCUAAGCAAUAAUCCUUUUUAAACGACAACCACCAUGUUUGGCGAAGAUCUCCAUAAUCAUAGUCUCCAAUGUGCAACAUAUCCACUUCAAAAGUGAUAUGUUGCUCUCUUUUUAUAGGAUGUUCUAGAAAUCUGAAAAAUAACAUAUUCACAUCAUUUCUACAAAGUCAAAUAGACCAUAAUUGCACUUGCUCCCACACAAAUUAUGUAUCAAUGUUAACAUAUUAGAUUUUUUAUAUGCAUAACAUGUAUAUUUUUGUGGUACAAAAUAAAUUUAUUUGGACGUUUAACUCUGUCUAAACAUGGUCUAAAUGCUGAAUACAGGUGACUAAAUAUUUACUUUUUAGCCUUUAGAAUACUACUAACUCAAAACGGUUAUAUCGAUGGCACAGGAUUUGUUGAGAAGAACAUGAUGCUGCGGAGAGCUAUUGGAAGUUUAGAGGUGGUUGCGAGAGCUCUCCUAGGGGCUAUUUAGUUCCAAAAAUUUUACAAAAUCUUUUAAGCUAUCGAAUCUUACGGCACAUAUGUGAAGCAUUAAAUAUAAAUAAAAAAUAACUAAUUGUAUAGUUUACAUGUAAUUUAUGAGACAAAUCUUUUAAACCUAAUUAGUCCAUAGUUGAACAAUAAUUAUCAAAUAUAAACAAAGUACUACGGUAUCACUUUGCAAAAUUUUUCACCAACAAAACAGCCUCCUAUUGGAAGCUAUUGGAAGUUUGGAGGUGGAUGGCGGAGAAAGCUAUUGAAAGUUUGAAAAUUUGGUAGGACGCAUUACGAACUUCAAGUUUGGGAACGUACUUUGGUGCAUCAGGAGGUCCAACGUUUGGCAAUUGCAAGUUACUGGAGUCCGUAGAGGAUGUGAGGAAAUUGUGUUCACGCACUAGGGAUGUCUCUAAAGACUACCGAUGCUUGAAGCAAGAGAGAGAAGUUUUUUUUUAACAUCAGAGCGAAGGUUGAAGGAAGGCUCAACCAUCGAAGUGUGCUAUUGUAGAGACCGAUGCUCAAUGAAAAAUCUAACCCUUGACUAGUUAUGGCAGAAGUUUUAUCCACAAUUAAUGUAUUGCUAUAUAAACAUUUCUAAUGAAAUGAAAAUGUUUUAAGAAAAGAAAGAACAUGAAACUCUAUUGUCUUAGUUUCUAACUCUAGAUGAAGCAUGAAAUUAAAUGUCGAUCCGUAAAACAAUAUAAUGAAACUGUAGAUAGAGACUUGUUGUUUUUAUCUAUAUUUCAUUGCAUUUUGUUUAAUAUGGCAUCCUUAUAAAUAACACUAUGAAAUUUCUCACUCAAAAUUACCUCAGGAGACAAGAGUAUUGAGUAGGGCUUGUGCUUGCGCUGCUUGCAACAUGACUCGUUUUCGCCACCGUGGAAGAGCACUUCCAGCACUUUGACAUUGGAUGCGCUGUGCUCGGUCUUGUAGAGCUCCUCGUAUGCCUUUUUUGCCGAUGCACUUGGCAUUGACAGACCCGUAGUCGAACCCAUUUACUGCAUAAUUAGAUGUCACCUUGCUUGGAAGAAGGCACUACGGAGAGGCUUUGAGCUGCGAGGCGCUUGCUUCGAAGUAGCAGCACCGCUUUUGCAGGAGAUGGCUUUGACAGCUCUCUGGUCCUAUCUAAUAAAGUUAGCUGACUAAUAACUUAUUGUCAGAUCCAAAAAUUACUUAGCCUAUUAUCUAUACAUGCUUGGACUUAUGCGUCACUUUGAGUUAAUAUUGGUCCUAUUUGAAAUUUGUUGGCUCAAAGAGGAAAAUUUUUAUAGAAUUAGAGCCUGGAAAUUAAACGGGACAAAAAAAUUUUGGGGCCAAAAUUUGGGGCUACAGGGCCUGCUACUGUGCACGCACUCCUAUGGAAGCCCACUAAUGACAACUGCAACUUCAUGCAGCCUAAGUUGUGUCAGAAAAAAAUUUACCAAACUAAAUACCUAAAAUUUUUCGCGUGCGUCAGACUUCUAAGCUAAAAUUCUAACCACAAAAAAUUUUACCACUUUAGCCAAAAAAUUUCAAAUAUAGAGAUGCUCUAAACUCGAUCCUUUAGUACUUUUUUCUUGAGGUUAGCAUUUGUCGCAAAGUGUGGACAGUCUGUGCCCUCGUGUACGUAGGCGUCUACGCCUGGAUCUUGCUGAAAAAAAGAUAAUUAUAUAAAUAACAAUAAGCACUACCGUCGUGUCCCAGGACCACGAUGUUCCAACUUCCAACAACUGGUUAUCAUUCACGACAAAAUAUACUUAGCUUUAAUUAUUCUACGGAUCUCCCUCACAUGAUUCAUAUCGAGGUACAAGUACACCAAGAUAACUUAAUACCCAGAAAUUAUAAAGUGAAAAAAAGAUAGUAGUACAACAAAAGAAACUCCACAGUUUCAGUGCACCUUACGCCGUCACGCGUGCAGCUGUGCAAGCUGUGCACGCAGGCACCGAAGAAGAUCGGCGCCCUUCUAUGCUGGGAAUCUCACUUCAACCGCCAGCGGCCAGACACCGUUGCCGUUGCAGCAGCGCUCGCCAGUGGACGACCAGCGCGCUCCGCGCGACUCGUCGGUCGGCCGGGCCUCUCUGUUUCAUCACUGCCGUGGUCGUGCUCGUGCUCGCGAGCUGUCUCGCUGACUCGUUCUCUCACCUGCCUUCCCGCGUCGGCGUCGCCGGCCUCCUCGUAUCGUAUAAGAACCGACACGCCGCCUUCGCACUCGUCAUCGUCAACCCCUCCGCUUCGCCUCCCUCGCUCGCGCUCGCAUUCCCUCCCGCCUCCAGAUCUCGAUGCGGCGGGCGCUCCCCUGACACCUGACGAUCGAGGCGACGCCAGCCACGCCACCAUGUCCUCCUGCGACGACGACCACGCGUCGCUCCUCAGAUCCCAAGCCGGGUCCUCGUCCUCGCCGCGCGGGCCGGCGGGGCACCAGCAACAGCACCACGCCGACGUCGAGGCGGACGAGGCCACCGUCACCGCCUCCCCGAGGCUCGCCAGCGGCGGCGGCGGGGGCGUGCGCGGCCUCCUGCGCAACCUCGAACGCCGCAUGACCGCACGCGGAUCUGGGCCUGGCCGUCGCCAGCACCAGCAUUACCAGCAGCUCGAUCGCUCCGUGGCGAUCGAGUCGCCAUCCCCGACGCCGUCGCAGCGGCAGCGGGAGAGAGCGGCGGCGGGGGAUGACGACGAGCUCGGGGACCGGGCGCCGCCCGAGUGGGCGCUCCUGCUCAUCGGCUGCCUCCUCGGGCUCGCCACCGGCAUCUGCGUCGCAGCGUUUAACCGCGGGGUGAGUCAGUGGUUUCUAAUUGGGAAGUUGGACAUUCAUGUAGAGUGUAGGAGUAGUAGCAGUGUAGCACUAUUUAAAUUGGUUUGGUUUGUGAGCUCUGUGUUCUAGUAUUUGGGUGUACUUGGUUUUAGUAACGUUUUAGCCUACUUUUGGAAUGUGUAACUGCCAUGCCCAUGCAAAAGCUAGUGCCAUGCUGCAAAUUUGGUUCCAUUUAUAUCUACCUAAUAACCUAAAUGAUCUAUAUAUAGUAUAUACCGAGCUAACAUUUCGUAUAACUCGCUGAUAAUAUUAUUAAGUAUUUAAGUAAUUAUUAUGAGGGAUUGAAAUGAUGGAUGUCCAAUUGCAACAAAUUUUAUCUAAAAACUAACCACAUUACACUAACUUGUAAUUAUGUGUGACCAAAGUCUUCAUGAUAAUAGCCGAGAUUUUGUAAUUGCAUCUUGAACAACUGAUUCCUUAAUGGCUUUGCUAGGUUCAUGUCAUCCAUGAAUGGGCAUGGGCAGGUACUCCGAACGAAGGAGCAGCAUGGCUCCGCCUGCAGAAGCUAGCUGAUACUUGGCACAGGAUACUGCUGAUCCCGGUGACUGGAGGUGUGGUUGUAGGAAUGAUGCAUGGGUUGCUCGAAAUAUUUGAGCAGCUAAAACUUGUGAAAUCAGGGCAGACGCAAGGAAUCAACUUUGUUGGAGCCAUCUUCCCAACCAUAAAGGCUGUCCAAGCUGCUGUUACCCUAGGGACUGGUUGUUCCCUGGGGCCUGAAGGUCCUAGUGUGGAUAUCGGCAAAUCAUGUGCAAAUGCAUGCUCAGAAAUGAUGGAGAGUAACCGGGAAAGGCGUAUUGCACUUGUUGCUGCUGGUGCUGCUGCUGGCAUUGCUUCAGGUAUAAUUUUCAUUCAAUAACGCAUCACAAAAUGGAAAUUUCAUCUUAAUUGGAUCUGGGAAAAGGCUAGAUGCCUUUGGCAUUCCAACUUCCGGUUUUUAAAAUAUGGCCUGUGAUUGUUCAACAGAUAACAGAAUAGGAGUAAGCAUAGAUUUGUAAAUGUUGUAAAAAGAAACCUUAAAAUCAACUAGCUAAUAAGGAUCAGUCGCAAUGCUGCCCUUAAAGCUACAACCUUAGUUUUGGCUUUUAAUCUACAAUUGUACUCUUUUUCAUGAUAUAAGCUUGCUAAUGUACUGCUCCUGGUAUGUGUAUCUUUUCAGGCUUCAAUGCAGCAGUUGCUGGGUGCUUCUUUGCCAUCGAAACUGUAUUGAGGCCCCUUAAAGCAGAAAAUUCACCUCCAUUUACGACUGCAAUGAUAAUAUUGGCAUCUGUUAUAUCAUCUACUGUUUCAAAUGUUUUACUUGGAGCAAGACCAGCUUUUAUAGUGCCAGCAUAUGAGCUAAAAUCUGCUGCCGGUAACUGUUCUGAUCUUUUCUUACAGUAACUUUAGUAGCUACCCUUCUUUUUAUGAAGUUUCAGGGCACCUAUUGUAAAAUGUUUUUCUAAGUUCAUCAAGCCCAAAUACACAAUUCCAUUUAUUUAGGUUAUGGGCAUAGUGCCAAUAACUAUUUUUUCUAAUAAGUUAGGAUUGACCAUUUCUUUAUAAAUUUGAAGUUCCCUUUGGAAAUCUUACUAUUCUAUGAUGUUGACUUAGGUUUUGGAACCCCGCAUAACAUUGUUCUCCUAUUUUGUAAAUUCAAGUGUAUGUGAAAUUUGUGUUUUUUAGGUUGUCCUAAUCUCUUCAACUUGUUUGCAGAGCUACCCCUGUACCUUAUCUUAGGAAUGCUCUGUGGAGCAGUGAGUGUGGUAUUUGACGGAUUGGUAGGAUGGUUUUCAAGAUUCUUUGGACGCAUAAAGGAAAAGUUUGAUUUUCCUAUUAUAGUGUACCCUGCUUUGGGUGGGCUGGGAGCUGGUAUCAUAGCUCUGAAAUAUCCAGGGAUCUUAUACUGGGGUUUCACAAAUGUUGAAGAAAUACUGCAUACUGGGAAAAGUGCUUCUGCUCCUGGUAUCUGGUUGUUAACUCAACUAGCAGCUGCAAAGGUAGUUGCAACUGCCCUCUGCAAGGGCUCUGGCCUUGUGGGAGGGCUAUAUGCUCCAAGCCUGAUGAUUGGGGCUGCUGUGGGAGCUGUUUUUGGGGGUUCAGCUGCUUAUUUAAUAAAUUCAGCUUUACCUGGUAAUGCUGCUGUUGCACAGCCACAAGCUUAUGCUCUGGUAAGUUGCUUUGAAAUCCAUUUUCCCUAAUUCGGUAAGUAAUAAUGUGCAUUAGCUCUUAUUUUCUGUAGGUCGGAAUGGCUGCUACACUAGCCUCAGUCUGUUCAGUCCCGUUGACUUCAGUACUGCUUCUCUUUGAGCUGACAAAGGAUUACAGGAUUUUGCUUCCUCUCAUGGUAAGUGUUGACUGUCAAUGUAUUCUUUCUAUAUUUUUGCUACACAACAUAUAAACACAAAUUUGUCUAGUUAUUUUCAUUACCAUUUUAUAUGCCGCGGACUAUAGGUCAUUUCCUUCACUUCCUAGUGCAUGCUCAAACUAAUGCACAUUUUAUUUCCUGGCUCUUCACAGGGAGCAGUUGGUUUGGCAAUAUGGGUUCCUUCAGUAGUAAACCAGCCAAACGACACUGAGCCUUCUGGGUUUAAAACACCCAAACGAGGUUAUUCUUCAAUUUCAGCAGAAGACAGAAAUGGUAGCUCAAGGCAAGGUGAUGUUGUGGACGAUCUUGAGCUCAGUAUUAUACAAACUGACAUUAGUAACUAUGGAACUUAUAAUGAAGAAAUGCUUCUGGAUGAUUUGAAGGUUUGUCAGCCUCUAUUCUGGCAGAUUUUACCCAUAUCCAACUCUUGUUAUCACGUUUAGCAUAUUCAAUCAACGUACUUUAUAAUGCUUGAGAAUUGCAAUGUUGUAAUUGUGCUGUUGUUUCAUUUGUUUCUACCUUUUUAAUCAGGUCUCCCAGGCCAUGUCAAAGGUAUAUGUCAAAGUGUUACCAUCUGUUACAGUAACAGAAGCUCUUAAGCUAUUGCAUGAUAAACAGCAAAAUUGUGCCCUGGUUGUGGACCCUGAAGAUUUUCUUGAAGGAAUUAUUACAAUAGGGGAUAUACGGCGCAUGGGAUAUGGGUUACACAUGGAAAGUUUCAUCAAUGGAGAUCACCCCAAGUCUGAUGUAUGUUUAUAUGCUGAAAUAAAAUUCUUUCUUCCUGUUAAAUAGUUCUGUGCCUUUUGAAAAUAUGGCAGGAGCACUGCCUUAUAUUAAGAAAGAAAGGAAAAUUUAUACAGCAUAAAAGCCUUAGUGCACAGAUUUGGGCCAAGGUUGACAAUCUAAUGAACUUAUAUUACUUUAGCACUGAAUAAAGUUCAGAGUAACAUUUUUUUCUUUUCUCAAAUAUGCAGGGGAGCUAUGUAUCAUUGCAUUAAGGAGAGAGAUAAAUUAGAAUACGCCCACCAUGCUCACACACACACAUGCUUACUUUACCAGAAAUAAACAUGCCUUACAUCAAGCCAUGACCGGACCCAACAAAACCACCAGCUUAUUAUCUAUUAGCAACCUCUAGGUGGGGCAAGACCUCUAGCACCUGCAAGGCCCCAGAGGUGUGCCUCUUCAAGGAUCUGUCUUAGGAUGAGCUGGAUGCUAGAAUUGGCUCCAUUGAAAACACAAUUGUUGCUAAAUAUGGUUACGCUAGCAAGUAACAAAUAUGGCCACUUUUACACUGUUUAAGCUAAACACACCUUUUAAGGAAUCUGUAAGCAAUAAACUCAAAUUGUGAUGUCUACUAUAUGUGUAUUCAUCCUAGCUUCUGGAGACAAACAAUUUUCAUAACUUUCUUGUUGGAAAAAAUGUAUUGAUUCAAAGUUUGUUUGCAGGACAAUUCUUCCUCCAUUUCAUCAUGUCUUACUCGAGGAUUCCAGUACUGUGGGAGUGAACGUGGAUUGUUAACAUGCUUUCCAGAUACUGAUUUGACCACUGCAAAAAGUCUUAUGGAGGCCAGAGGGAUAAAACAACUGCCUGUAGUUAAGCGUGGUGUUGCCCAUAGAACUGCAGGAAAGCGCAAGCCGGUUGCCCUUCUGCAUUAUGAUUCUAUUGGUUGCUGCGUUCGGUUAGUCAUAAGCUUAGACAUGCUUUGUUUCAAUCCUUUAAUUUUCUUUGUUUAUUGAAUUUUGCCUUACCUACCUGUGUAGGUUUGUCAGUACUACCCUCAUCUAUGCUAAUAUAAUUUCAUUUGCUUGUCAAGGGAGGAAAUAGAGAACUGGAAGACCAUAUAUCAGAGACUGGCUUGUUAAUAAUAUGAUACUACUUGGAUGAUAUUAUUAUUCAUUUAAUUGCCGAGGGAGGAUAUUGUGAACUGAAGACCAUAUAUCAGUGAAAAGCAGGCUUUCGCCUUGUAGCAAAUGGGCACUGAAAAAUUACAGUGCCCUUAAUGACACCACAACAGUAAGCGAUACUACAGGACAUCUAUGCGAAAUGUGGCUACACUGAUGCAGGGAUCAUUCAGGCAGUUUAAUCUCUGUACUGUAUCAUUUAUAGAUUCCACUAUGAUCUUAUUGGACAGUGCAGUGGCAAGCCUGACAAAUUCUGCAGAGACUUCCCAUUACAGCCAGUUUCAUGUGGCAUCCCUGCUCGUACCACUUAUUUGUUCUUGUUACGACCUGGACUUGUACUUUACACGGGAUAGGAACGAAGUACAGACGUAGUGAAAGAAAGCGGUACUUUUUACCCUCGUACUGCUUGUAAAUUGUAAAGUGUAGCAUAUAUUACAGCAUGAUCUCACUUCUGUUGCUGUGAAGCAUAUUCGUCAGUGUGAUCACACAGCGAAUUUGUGCAGUAGAAUCGGUCAUGUCGAUGUUGUAAGUUGAAGAAUCACAUUGCUUGUACAAUUUGCCAGCAUGUUGUUUUAGCUCCUCUGAUGAGUAUCAUGUUGUACUCCUAGAAACUGUUGGCUGAUAAGCCAUGUUGUUUUAGCUCCUCCGAUGAGUAUUCCGUUGUACUCCUAGAAACUGUUGGCUAUGGCUGAAAAACCAUAGCAGAAAGUAUUGUUGGCUGAUUUGUUGUGAGAGAAAAACAUUACCGAAUAGCUGACAGAUUUGGCUGAUAAGCUCAAACGAAUAAUAUGGCCUUUGCUCUGCACAUUUUUGAGUCUUGAUGUACCUUUGUAUGUUGUGACGUAGUAGCAAGUACAAAGUAAAAUCUUAUAAAAAAAGUACAGACUAAAAUCCCAGUCAAACGGUUGGGAUCAUGCACUAGUUUUGCUAAUCACUACAGUAAACUAUAAAGAACUGCAAUCUUAUCUUAUCUUAUACUCUUAUAAAGUGAAAUCUUACUAUAGGGUUUUUUCUCUUCAUACAAGGUAUCUACAUCAUUCCUUACUAAAUGAGCCCACUAGAUGUUCUACCUCUUUAUACAAGGUGUCUACAUCAUUUCCUAUUAAGUCCAUAUCAUCCCUUAAUAGUUUCAAAAAGUAUCCACGUCAUCUCUAUCAUGUGCAAUACUUUUAAUCUUUAAUCUAUGCAUUAGCAAGUCAUCUACCUAUACUAUUUGUUUCUUCUACUAGCUUACCGAUUUUUUACCAUAUCUGAUAUAAUACAAUAACAUGUCAGUCAUAUAUAUAUAUAUAUAUAUACACACACACACACAAUCUACAAUGACUCAACACCAAAGCCAAGGCACAAAACUCAAAGUAAAAAAGAAAUAAUUGGAAAGUUACAGGCUUGCACAUAGACCAAAGUGCCAAAAUGGCAGAUAAAUAAGAAUUAAUAGCAACCAUAGCUUCUUAGGCCUCUAUUCCUUCAACUCUGAAUCAAUGGCACCCUCAGGUUCUUAGGCCUGCACAAUUGACCAUCAAGGAGUUGUGCACAAAUGGCAAUGGGCAGAAAAAAUCCACGUAUCCACGAGCACCCAACCCCGCGGGUGCGGAUAUGGGCAUCAAUUUGUGCCCGCGGGCACAGGCAUUGGUAGAGAUCUGUGCCCAACAGGCAAUCCUACACGAGUAAUAAAAUACUAUACCCGCACCCGCAAACCCGCAACACCCGCACUGACAUGUGGGCUCAUAACACAAGUGAUAUAUAUGGCUCAGCUUUAGGGUUCCUAGUUCUACUUCCAAAUCUCGGUCCAAACUUCCCCUCCCCUCAGUGUCGCCGUCGCCCAGACACGAGAUGCGACGCGAGUCACACGACUCGGGAAGUUGAGACUCGAGAGUGGCGCCCGACGCUAGCGACUAGGCCUCAGCAUCCCGAAGACCUGAACCCCAUCGGCGCCUCCCUAAGACCCCAACCCCUCACGGCUUGCCUGCAGGCCUCACGAGCUCAGGCCUUAGCACUCGCGCGCGGCUCCUCUGCUACCGACACUUCCAGCUUUGACAGAUUGACACCUCCUCAUCCAUCCCCUGACGCCGGCCGCCUGCAGCUCUGACCCUGCCAUCUUCCCUACCGCAAGGUCAAAGGCAAGUUCAGUAUUUUGCUUGUUCUUGAUGCCUCCCAGUAGAUCUUGUGCUUUUUAGUUCUUGUCUUCAUAUUCCAGUUCGAGAUCUGCAUAUUGGGGUAAUAAAUCGAGUGACAAUUUCAUACAUAUUGUGAUGUGCAGCUACAAUGGUGACCCUUGGUAGUUCCCAAGUGCAAACCUCCCAUACAACUAUAGUAGUUGGUACUGAGGAGGACAAAGCCGCAGAUGUUGUGCAUGUAUUAGAGUGGGAGGAAGCCUCAGAUGAUGAUGAUGAGCGGCCUUCAAAAAUAAAGCUCACCUCUGCGGUCUGGAAUGACUUCGACAAAGUGCGUACUGGUGAAGUUUGGAAGGCCAAGUGUAACCACUGCAACAAGAAGCUUUCAGCCACAUCAAAAAAUGGUACAACUCACUAGAAAACUCAUUUGAAAAUUUGUCCCCUCAAUAACAGGAAGGCAGGAACAAAAGUUCAAACAAAUUUGAGGGUUUGGAAUCACUGAAAAGGGGGCAGUAGCUGUAGAAAUCUAUGUGUUUGAUCAAGAAGUAGCUAGAAAAGCUCUUUAUUCCAUGAUUAUAUUGCAUGAGUACCCGUUGUCCAUUGUUGGUCACCAUGACUUUUGUAAAUUUGUUAGUGCAUUACAACCUUUGUUCAAAAUGGCAACUAGAAACAGUGAAACAUUGUACGAUAUUUGUCCUUUUGGAGAAGAGGCUGCUGGAACAUAUGUCACAGAGGCCCAUGAAUUGCUUACUGAUAUGAUGAAACAUUAUAAUGUGAACCAAGACUUUGUUGCUAUAUCCUCUGGUGGUGUCCCUUCUUCUAUAGUUAAUGCAAUUGUUGUGUUGUUCAUAUUUAAAACCCUUGCUGCAAAUAAGAAGACUACAAGCUUGGUAAGAAGUAAGAAUGAGCUCGAUCGCUACUUGGAAGAGGAAACUCUUCCUCAUGAUGACAGUCAUUAUUUUGAUAUUCUUGGCUAGUGGAAGUUGGAGGGAGCUCAUUAUCCUACUUUGAGGCUAAUUGCUCAUGACAUUUUAGCUAUUCUAAUCACCAUAGUAGCUUCUGAAUUGGCUUUCAGUACUAGUGGGAGGGUUUUAAGUGAGCAUUGCAGUCGUCUUACUCCUAAGAUGUUGGAGGCUUUGAUGUGUAGCCAAAGCUGGCUUCGUCACUAUCUCAAAGGUAUAAAAAGAUGCAUUUAUAAUAAAUUGAAUGUAGAUGAGUGUAAUACUCGAUUUUAAGGACAAAACCAGAUAUACACUAUAUGUGAGUCUUAAAGGACAAAUCUCACAUAUAGCUACAAAAAUAAGGGGUAAUAUCAAAAGACAAUGCUUAAAUUAUAUAAUGUAAUAAUAAAUCAAAGAUAACCUUAGCCAGCAAACAACGAAAGAUAACUUCAAACUUCGGGUAUUAACUUCACUCUACAGGAUCCAAACUGACUGGUUGAUCACAAGCCCAAACAAUCCUCCUGAAGUAUAGGGGAAAUAGCAAGAGUGAGUCCAUGUUGAACUCUACAAGUAUAGCAACUAGAUUGUAUAGAUCCCACAAUCUCAUGAUCAAUGUGACACAAAUAAUAUAGAGCAUUAAAUAAUAAAUAAUGAGUAUUUUAACACAACAAGAAUCAUCACCCUUAACGCAAGAAUCCUCAAGGCUGCUCGUGACCGUAAGCACGGCUAGUAUACCUGUUUUAAACACUCUGCAGAGGUCGUACAUCUUUACCCAUAAGUCAUGAUUUAUCCUUUCGCCCGAGGUGAUCAGCCUCUUAACCCACUACCAAGGAGGGUCGCAGGGAUCACUAUGAAGCAUUUCAAAAGUUCGUCUAACAUGUUAGGGCCGCAAGGUUUUCUGGGCGCGCAGAUAUAGAGCCCUCCUUCCAAUGGCACAAUGACGCGCAACCUAUACACAUAAAGACAGAGCCCACACUAUACCUAAAACGGCAAGCCCCUCUAGCGCCUUUUCGGGUAACCACUAACAAGUUAGAAAAGGUCUUCAUACUAAGCUAAAGCCAGAGCCAUUAUAGCCCUCAUGGUUGCACUGUUAUCCUGUUUAUUACUUAUAGAUAAAUCAUCAAGUGGCUAAAAAGUUAUUUUUAUCGUUUGUUACUUAACAUUAAUCAAGUCACAAGAUCAUGGUCACAGAAAUAGAACCCAAAUGCUAUACUUGCCUUAAUGAAAGCUUUCUCAUUAGUAGCACUCUUGAUCACACACGAGUUGCUCACCAUCUAUACUCGAUCAUCGAAUAGCAACACACAAGCAAACAAACAGAAACAACUAAGAACAAUACACCACAUAUCCUACUCAAAGAGAGCUAGUUCUACGGUCAAUAAACUAUCAGGAGUGCUAUAUUAUUCAUAAAACAACUACGAGCUUGAUUUACAUUAACUAAGAAAAACUAUGUGGAUAAUAUUAAUUCAUAUUAAUCAUAACAUAUUCAAUUUAAAAGAUAAAACUAACCAUAUUUUAUUUAUAAAUGUUGUCGUAUAAAUUAAUCUUUGACUCUAUAAAAUAACAUGGAAACAACUGUUUCUAAUAUGUAUGACCUAUGUUCAAGUUAAGAAAAUUUGUAAUUUAGAAUCUCAAUUAUGUUAUUAAUUAAUCAUAUUAAUGACUAUAUAUAAAACAUCAAAGUAUAAAAUAAUAUGGAUUUUAAUUAUAAAACUAGUUGCAAGUAUAUUAAUAAAUUUAAUAUUUAACUAUAUAUUCGAGAAAAUAUGCGACAUGAUAAACGUGGAUACUAACAUGCAAAUCACGUCACUAAUAGUGCAGUGCAAUAAGAUUAACUAAAACAGAAUUUAGAUAUGAAAACAAUGAUGGAUGGAAUGUGUGGAUAGAUAAAGGGCUUACAGGAAAAUAAAAAUGUCAAUUGCUUUUUCUCUUUGGGGGAUUUACUUGCUUGUGUGUAUACACGCAUGUCCCUGGUUUGCUUUCAGAAUUCCGGGCGAUUGACGAUCUUGCUUGCUUAACUUCAAGGCUGGAAGUACAGAUGGACUAGAGCAUGGCCGCCUUGGCAGCAAGUGGUCUGGCAGCAAAAUUGUGACCUCGAGAGCAGGACGAACCAGCAGCAGUCGUCGAUGGACAAGUCAAACGGCCAACAAUGGCUUUGACUUCGGCAACUUGCUAGCUGGAGAUGUACGUACAAGGUCGGUCGGCAACUGGGCAUUUUGCAGUGAUGCUCCUAGCGGCUUGCUGAAGUUUCCUCUAACAGACAGAAGCUUUAGGAGGUAUAUAUUGUUACGGAUAUUUUCCGGGGUGAUCUCAUCUCCUCGGAUUCCCUUUACGGGAGAUCUAUCCUAACUACGACUUCCCCCACGACGGCCUACGGGAUAUCACCCACGACUACGCACGUACCUGUGGAGACCGGUUCCACCUCCGUGAUAUCACCCACGACUUAUCGUGGGCACGAGUUUACUUGGGGCGAGAGUUUCCUCUCCCCCCCGACUGUAUAAAUACCCGUGAUCAAUGAAUAAACAAACACCCCGAGUUCAUUCUAUUCCUCUCUGUUCUCGUACUCUCGCAUUCUACUCGUAAUACGUUAUCAGCACGACGCUCUCCCCUGCCCCAGAGGUGAUAGCUCGGUUGGAUAGAACAUCGUCGAGGGAUCGACCUUCGCCUAGGGCAUCACCCCAAGGUAGAAUCAUGCCUUUCCCUCGCCGUAAUCCUGCCUCAAUGGCUUCUCUCAUCCUCCAAAUCGUCUGGAUGGCGAUGAACCGUGCCCGGACAUUGGGCACACACUUCGGCAACAACCGCCUUCAGGCGGAACUACUGGAGGACAUCCGGGAACUCCUUGGCGAGGCUCGCGGCUAUCGCUUUCGUGGCGAACGCCGUGAUCUCAACAGGAACCCCGGGCGUUUUCCUGUACGACGUCGUUUCGGGGGAAACCGACAUGCAAACGUCGGCCCUCCGUCACGACGUUCGGUGGUGUCGUCCACGGCUUCGCCCGCGGCGCCAUCCGCGGCUCCGCCCGCGGCGCCACCGUCGAGGGCACCAACUCCACCGGCGCCUCCAGCGCCGGUCCUCGCCUUGCCGGCUCCACCCCGGCCUCGGUGCCCGCUCCACGGCGACGGCCCGUGCCCACCACCGCCACCAUCCAUGGUGGCCAGCCAAUGGCUGUCACUGGGCAUAGAGCCGCAGUCGCCGAUUCGGUACCCGACGCCGACGCCGUCUUCUGAGCGGGCUGCGCACAGCCCGCCUCCGCGCCGUCCGUCUCCACCAACAAUCGCGGCGCGGAUGUCGGCGCCGACUCGUCUGCCGGCGUACAUCGUCGAUCCUGCGCUGGCUGCACCACCGCCACCGCCACCACCUCCUCCCUCGCGUCUCCGCCGCACAUGGAUCAGCGUCCCCCACGGGCCUUCGGCUCGGGGACGCGCUCCUCCGGCUUGAGACUGUCACUAGGGAGAGGGGGAGGAGGAGGCGCCACUCGCGGGCUCGCGCGACCAUGCCGCGGCCUGGCAGCGAGCGGACUCCGGCGCGCGCGGACCUGCCCGACGCGACGGCGCCUCGGCCUCGACGCGGCGGCCCGCCAGGCCAUGGUUCGGCGCGGCCACGGCGCCUCAGCGCUCGGCUUCGUCGCGGCACUCGGCUUCAUCGCGACUUCGUCGCGGCACGCAGCGCCCGCGCCCGCGUCGAAGGGCGCCAUCGCGGCCCCGUGCGACCUCGCCAUCGCGGCCCCGAGCGGCUCGCCAACCCGCGGCGGGGGCUCGACGCAGCUGCCCCCGCGGCCGUGGCCACCGAGCGCGACGGCCUCGCACCCGCACGGCGCGGCCACACUCGGCCUCGGCGCGGGACCACGGCGGCUCGCUCGCGCAGCUCGGCGGCGCGCGGCUCGCGACAGCGCGGCCUCCGCGGCCCCCGGCGGCGGCGUCAUCCGCGGGCGCCCGCGCCCCAGCCCGCAGCUGCGAGGCGUCCCGACCGCGCGGCCGGCCACUCCACUGCAGCGGCCCCACACAGGCGCGCGAAUCGAGGCAGCCCCGCGGGCCCACGCACAGGAGGCGGCGGCCAGAGCCCCUGGCGGCGGCGGCGCACCCCUGGGAGGCGCCCAGCGGUUUGGUGCUGGCGGCUGGCUGGGGGCUAGGGUUUCCAACCCUAGCCUCUGGCCCAAACCCCCCUCCCCCCUCCCAAAUUGGGCCAAAUUGGUGGCCCAGGCCCAGGUUGGGGCCUGCGAGCUUUCAGCCUGGGCCAGUUAUCAUUGUUUUUUUUUCAUUUUAUGAAUUAGCUAAUUUUAUUUAUUUAUUUACAUAGCAUUUUUCAUUCCCUAAAUUACAUCAGUUUAUUAGUCUAUUUUUCUUGCAAAUUUAGACCCUGGUGUAAAUUGCAUUGUAAAUAUUUUUACAUUCCGCAAUCAUAUUAUGAAUGAAAAAUUUAUUACAUGUCGAACGUGUUUUGUCUUUACAAUUCCCUAUCACAUGUAUAUAUGUAAAUAUUUUAUGGUCAAUUUUUCUCCCUAUUUGGAAUACUAUUUUUCACUAGAUGUCACCUUACUUUAUUAUUAUUUUGGUGACCACAAGGUAGUACUCAUACUACUGCGGGAUUUAUUCCUCAAAGUGCUCUCUCAAAUUUAAUAAUAAACAUACAAGGACUACAUCCCAAAAGUGAAAAUAUAAAAUGGUCCACACCUCCAUGGUGACUACCUAUGUUCCACAAAAUGAGAAAUCAAAAUACCAUAAAACAUAUGCAAGUUUACCUUGCUACACAUAAACAAGUUUACCUUGUUAUUUACAUACGCAAUUUUAUAUUGUCUUACAUACGCAAUUUUUACAUUGCUUUACAUAUACAAUUUUACAUUGUUUUUAUAUACGCAAUUUACAUUGUUAUAUAAAUAUGCAAUUACAUUCUUGUUAAUUUUACAACCCCGCAAUUAAUUAAGAUUAUGCAAAUAAACAUGUAGGCAAUGGCCACCAAAGAGUCCGAUGCCCAAGUUUCUUCUAAGAAGGAAUUUGCCGAGCUAGCUCUUGAUGGACACAACUUCCCUACAUGGGCGAUGGAUCUCAAAGUGAGUCUAUCGUUACGCGGAAUGUAUAGGGCAAUUGACACUCCCAAACAGGGAGAUGCUCCAUUGUCUGAACCAUCCAAGUACCAUGCCUUAUACAUAAUAAGGAACCACAUCCAUUCAGAUCUCAAAGCUGAAUAUCUGAUGGAAGAGGACCCACGGGCUCUCUGGCUUGCUUUGCAACAGCGGUAUGAGCAACAAAAGGCAGUUAUUCUCCCGGAGGCCACUCAUGAGUGGAACCACCUCCGCAUUCAAGAUUUCAAAUCUGUGAAUGAAUAUAACCAUGCCAUGCACAAACUCAGUUCCAAACUGAGGUUUUGUGAAAAGGAGCCAUCUGAUGCGGAGAAAAUUGAAAAGACUUUGUCUACCAUGCUUCCCGCUCAAAUGAUCCUCCAACAGCAAUACCGUGAGAGGGGAUUCACAGUCUAUUCUGAUCUCAUUAAAACAUUACUUCAGGCUGAGAGGCACAAUGAGCUCCUCAUAUGGAACUCCAAUCAAGGCCCUGUCGGUGCCAAGCCCUUGCCCGAAGUACAUGCAAAUGCUCAGAAACAGACACCAAAGGAUGCCAACAAAAAUGACAAUCCUAGAUCCUCCAAAGGCAAAAACAAGCGCAAGGGACCCCGUAAGCCUCGAGGUACUAAGGGCAAAGGCAACAACUCUAAGUCAAAAGACAAGUCCUCAACUUGUACAAAGUGUGGUUGCUACAACCACCCGACUAAGAAAUGCCGCACCCCUAAGCACCUUGUGGAACUGUACUUGCAUUCCGUGGGACGAGGACGCUCCAACCAAGGACGCUCCAACCAAGGUGGACAACCGUCUGAAGCACACUUCAACGAUCUGGCAGCCCCAGGAUGUUCCAACCCCGCCCCAGCGGGACCGAGCAACACAAUGGCGCCUCUUCCACCUGAUGGCAUGACAAAUGACUCCACCAACAACAUGAUCAUUGAAUACAAUUCUGAUGAUCUGUUCGGCGACUACAACUAGAUUGAUAGUCAUUUGAGAUUUUAGUUUCAUUAUUCGCCUUCGGGAUUGUAAUAAUUGACAAUUUGUUUUUGCUACACUCUGUUUGAUGUUCAUUGACUUAUGCACAAUUCAACAUCAAUAAAUGUUUAUAUUUCAUAUAUAUAUUCAUAUUGAGAAUUUCAUUCUCUUUUAUAUUCUCUAUUUUCAUAGAUUGUACGGGAGUCAAUCCGAUGGAUGAGGAAAUGUGCCUAGUGGACAGUGGCACCACUAACUCUAUACUCAGGGAAAUAAAAUAUUUCCAAACUCUCACAAAGAGCAAAGGAAAUGUUUUAACAAUCGCUGGACGCGAUGCCGUAAUAGCAGGCUCUGGAAGAGCCAUUAUUACGCUCCCUAUGGGUACAACGAUUACAAUCGAGGAUGCACUUCUGUAUCCUGAUUCAACUCGUACCUUAUUGAGUUAUAGAGAUAUCCGCAAAAAUGGGUAUCAUAUCGAAACCCAUCACCAAAAUAAUGAGGAGUUCCUCCUCAUUACAAAGGAUAACGGAUAUGGCAGAGAUACUCUCGAAAGAAUUCCCUCAACUUCGUCUGGAUUGUACUAUUCAUACAUAAAACCCGUACAACAUGUUGCGUACAAAGUAAUUUUUCAGAAUGUCAAUGCAUUCCAAACUUGGCAUGAUCGCCUUGGUCACCCUGGCAUAGGGAUGAUGAGAAAAAUUACUAGCAAUUCUGUUGGUCACUCGCUAACCAAUGCAAAGUUUCCCCAAUCCUCAGAUUAUACUUGCACCGCAUGUGCAACAGGGAAAUUAAUUUUGAGGCCCUCUUCCCUCAAAAUCAAAGUUGAACCACUCAACUUCCUUGAACGCAUUCAAGGGGACAUAUGUGGCCCGAUAAAUCCUUUAUCUGGACCGUUCAGGUACUUCAUGGUUCUAAUAGACGCAUCCACACGAUGGUCUCAUGUGUCUCUUCUAUCGACACGAAACCAUGCUUUUGCCAAAAUAAUUGCGCAAGUUAUCAAACUCAAAGCGCAACAUCCUGAACAUCAAAUAAAAUCCAUUAGGAUGGAUAACGCUGCUGAAUUUUCCUCUCGAGCCUUCAAUGACUAUUGCAUGGCCUUAGGAAUACAAGUACAGCAUUCUGUCCCAUAUGUCCACACACAAAAUGGGUUAGCCGAGUCUCUCAUCAAGAGAAUCAAGCUCAUUGCUAGACCGCUAUUGCAGAAUUGCAAUCUACCAACCUCAUGUUGGGGUCAUGCAGUCUUACACGCUGCUGAACUGAUUCAAUUGCGACCAACUGCAUACCAUGCGACGUCUCCGUUGCAACUAGUACAUGGAAAUUCCCCAAGCAUUUCCCAUCUGCGAAAGUUCGGUUGCGCUACAUACGUACCGAUCUCACCACCGAAGCGUACAACAAUGGGCCCCCAUAGAAAAUUGGGGAUCUAUGUGGGAUACAAAUCUCCGUCGAUUAUAAAGUAUCUGGAGCCCACCACAGGGGACCUCUUUACGGCCCGGUACGCUGAUUGUAUCUUCAAUGAAGAUCAUUUUCCGGCAUUAGGGGGAGACUUACCACAUCACAAACAAUGCCAGGAAAUCAAUUGGGAUGCCCCAUGCAUACCCAACUCAGAUCCACGUACUUCAGAAUCUGAACUCCAAGUUCAGAAAAUCAUAAAUUUGCAACACAUUGCAAACAACGUGCCAGACGCAUUUACUGAUUAUAAGGGUGUUACAAAAUCCUAUAAUCCAGCGAGAAAUGUACCGGAAAGAGUAGAGGUACCAAACAAAACUACUCAACUCCCUAGUAAGAGGGGGAGAAGUACGGCUAUCUCCACGGAUACAGCUUCUAGCAAGCAAAGGAAACGGAAGACAAAAUCUUCUGAUCCAGUAAAUGUAGCUCAACCUCAUGUUGAGAAACACCCAGUGGAGGUUCAACCUUCACAUCCCACAUCAACAGUGCACUCAAUUACUGAUGCUGGGACAUCGGAAUACCCUGAUGCGACCAUCUUGGGAAAUGAUGAUGCAUCGGAAAGGGUCCAUGAAAUUUCCAUCAACUAUGCAGAAACUGGAGAGUCAUUUGAUAGAAAGACUACAAUUGUCGACUCAUAUUUCUCCGCAAUGAUUGCCGAAAUCCUUGAAAAUGAUCCAGAUCCUAAGACCAUGGCAGAGUGCAAAACGCGCUCGGACUGGAACCAAUGGAAGGAUGCAAUCCAAGCAGAAAUAUCCUCGCUCACAAAAAGACAGGUAUUCUCACAAGUAAUACCUACACCUCCACAAGUAUUCCCUGUGGGAUUCAAGUGGGUUUUCGUCCGAAAGCGGAACGAGAACAAUGAGGUGGUGAGACACAAAGCGAGGCUUGUAGCACAAGGGUUCACGCAGAGACCCGGCAUUGACUUCAAUGAAACAUACUCUCCAGUCAUGGGUGGAAUAACAUUCCGAUACUUAAUCUCUCUGGCUGUACAAAAUCGUCUAUCUAUGCAGUUGAUGGACGUAGUGACUGCAUAUCUCUAUGGGUCACUCGAUUCGGACAUAUACAUGAAGGUUCCCGACGGAAUCCCAAUAACGAAUCAAAACGCAAAUCGCAACAUGUAUUGUGUAAAGCUACAGAAAUCACUCUAUGGCUUAAAGCAGUCGGGAAGAAUGUGGUAUAACCGACUCAGCGAGUACCUUCUGCAGAAGGGCUACUCCAACAGUGAUGAUUGCCCAUGUGUCUUCAUCAAGAAAUCCCAAACGGGAUUCUGCAUCAUAUCGGUGUAUGUUGAUGAUUUAAAUAUCAUCGGCCACAAACAAGAUAUUGAUGAGGCAUGCAAACAUCUUAAGACGGAGUUCGAGUUGAAGGAUUUGGGUAAAACCAAAUUCUGCUUAGGCCUACAGCUUGAGCAUCUUUCAACUGGAAUCUUUGUGCAUCAAUCUGCAUAUGUCCAGAAAGUAUUGGAGAGAUUCAAUAUGGACAAAGCAUAUCCUUCCAAAACCCCUAUGGUUGUUCGGUCUUUGGGACUAAACACUGAUCCAUUCAGACCACAAGAUGAGGGGGAGGAAAUCCUAGGACCUCAUGUCCCAUACCUUAGUGCCGUCGGAGCACUGAUGUAUCUUGCCAAUAGCACCAGGCCUGACAUCGCUUUCGCAGUGAAUUUGCUAGCAAGGCACAGUGCCGCUCCUACCAAGAGACAUUGGACAGGAGUAAAACAGAUCCUCAGAUAUGUUAAUGGUACAAGGGAUCUCGGAUUAUUCUUCCAAAGAGGAACAAAUUCCGAGAUGAUAGGAUACACCGAUGCUGGAUAUCAAUCAGACCCCCAUAAUGGCAGAUCACAAACCGGUUUCGUAUUUUUACAAAACGGAACCGCCAUAUCAUGGACAUCAUCCAAGCAAACCUUGGCAACAACGUCCACGAAUCAUUCUGAAAUAGUCGCAUUAUAUGAGGCCUCACGUGAAUGCGUUUGGCUUCGCAGAAUGAUCAACCACAUACAGCAGUCGUGUGGUCUUAAAGCUAUCACAGCUCCAACCAUUAUCUAUGAAGAUAAUGCGGCUUGUGUUACACAGAUGGAGACAGGCUACAUCAAGAGCAAUAUCAACAAACACAUCUCUCCAAAGUUGUUCUAUCCUCAUGAAUUACAACAAAAGGGAGAGAUUGAUAUCUUGAAAACCAAAUCAUGCGACAAUCUUGCUGAUCUAUUCACUAAGUCCCUACCAGCUUCCUCAUUUGAAAAAUGUGUCAAAGGAAUUGGUAUGCGACGACUUAGGGAUUUGCAAAGUUCAGGGGGAGAAAUCUCCUAGACAUUGGCCUGUCUACACCAUCAUAUUAUACUCUUUUCUCUCUAUGAGUCUUUCCUCACAAGGUUUCUCAUAAGGAGUUUUUAAUGAGAUAAUAUUAACACAAGAGUGUCAUAUUCCUUGUUUUCCCCACAGGGGUUUUUAAAGGAGUAUCAAAGACACAUAUUGUCCUCUAAACUACAACAUGAGUUUUUCUCCUGCAAAGGUUUUCUCAUAUUAGUUUACAAUGAGGCAAUCAUUAAGUGCUAUAACUUUCUCCUUCUUUUCCCAAGCGGUUUUAAGGAGUUUUACUAUAGCACAUAUACACACGUAUUUUUCCUCGUUUUUUAUCCUACAGGAAUUUUUGGAGGAGCAAUACGAUUCAUUGAUCUCAACAAGUGAUUCGAUCAAGGGGGAGUGUUACGGAUAUUUUCCGGGGUGAUCUCAUCUCCUCGGAUUCCCUUUACGGGAGAUCUAUCCUAACUACGACUUCCCCCACGACGGCCUACGGGAUAUCACCCACGACUACGCACGUACCCGUGGAGACCGGUUCCACCUCCGUGAUAUCACCCACGACUCAUCGUGGGCACGAGUUUACUUGGGGCGAGAGUUUCCUCUCCCCCCCGACUGUAUAAAUACCCGUGAUCAAUGAAUAAACAAACACCCCGAAUUCAUUCUAUUCCUCUCUGUUCUCGUACUCUCGCAUUCUACUCGUAAUAUAUAUGAAGACAGUUGCUCCACGUGCAUGGUACAGACGUACGUGUUCCUCCAGUGACUCAUCAACGGCAGCGUCCACGGCUGGUAGCUGCUCACAGGGUUGGGAGCCUACUACACGAGGAUGAGCUUCGGCAGAAAACAAGAAACGAAGGGAUAAUAGUCAAACAGUGAUGGAUUGAUACAAAGAGAGAUACUAUGAUCAAGAGAAUGACGCCACAAAGAGAGAUACUAUGAUCAAGAGAAUGACGCAAAGAGAGGUACUAUGGUCUAGAUAAUGAUGAGACAAACCUCGUAAUAGUGGUGGUUUCCACUGGAGAUGAACGUGGCAGUUGGAAAAGCUCGCCGAAGAAAUCAUUGGAGUUGGCCGGCAGCAAUAAGAAGAGAAAAGAUUUUAAUUGACUACAUGAGAAAUUUCCCAAACUAGAGGCUCCUCAUACGGUAGUUUUUUGUGUGCUUUAUCCAAAGAGUUAGUAUAUAUAUAUAGGGAGAAAUACUUUCCACCUUCACAUUAACUGGCGAUAUGGUACCAAUCAAUGUUGCAUCCUCCAACUUUACUAAUAGGCCUAAUUAAUUAUUUAAGCCCACUAGUAAAUAAAUAUAUUGGCCUUUGAGAUCAUGGGCUGAGUGUUGAUGUAAAAUGAAGAAUUUAUUAUUUUCAAAAUUAAUUAUUUUUAUCGAUAAAAUAAUUCUAGAAAAAUCCAGAAUUACUAUUUACGCCGCGAAAAAUACUCCAAAAGCUCUGAAAAUUCGGAGAAAAUUCUCAGAGAUAUUACGGAACAUGAGGAAACCAAAUAAAGUAUUUACAUAUCAUGAUAAAAUUAUUUGGAGCAUCUAAAAUUAGAUUAUGCUCACAGAAAAGUGGGAACCAGUUCCAGAAAAAUGCUAAAAUAAUUACCGGUAAGUUUUUAGAGAUUGAUUGAUGGAUAGGAACUCAAAGGAGUGAUUUGGGUUAUAAAAAAAGAUUUUUGGGAAUCUCCAACUGAAAGCCUAAGCUCAAAAAUAAGGAAUUUGAUCGUAGAAAAAGAUAAAGACGUGCCAGACAAAGAAGUUCGACCUACUAAACGCAUUUUAAAGACUUUGCUCACCCUCAACAUACAAAGGAGCAACAACCAAACAUCACAUUAAAACAUAUGCACCAGUAUGUAUGCACAAUAACUUUGUUAAACUCUAUGAUGAAUUUUAAUUUAAUAAUAAAAAAAUAUUUUCCUAUGCUUUCAUGAGCACAAAAAAUAUAAAAUAAAUUAUUUUAGCUCUAUUUUCAAAGAAGCAAAAUUUAGAGUGUUACAAUGAGGCUGAUGGACUUUAUACUGCAGUUACUAAUUUUUGAACUUGAAUGUAGAUGAUGCUGAUGGAAGGUUCAAUAGCUUCUGAUCAUGUCUUGAAGACGAUGAAGAAGAACUGAAAGAUGAAUCUUGUAUCACUAAAGCAUAUUCGGACUAAUCAACUUGUUGAUGUCUCAUUUAUUUGCAUCACUUGGAAGACUUCGUUGUUGAAUAUGUUCUUGUAUGGUAGCCUUGUAAUGUAUUGUGUGGUAAACUAGAACUACUAAGAUUAUAUUUGUUUGUGUGAAGAACUACUGUAUUGAGAUCUGUGAUCCAUGAUGAACUGAGACUCCUAUUUGAAUGUGUGAUCUAUUUACAUUUCUCACAUGCUUUUGUUAAAUAAAUGUAUUUCUAGCGGGUAUGCGGGCAUGCCCGCGGGCGAGCCUUGCCCGCGGAUAGCGGGCACGGGCACAGGUUCCUGCCCAUGACGGGUAGUGGGUGUGGGUGCGGGCACAAGAUUUUGGUCACGGGUGUGGGCAUGCAAAGCCAUUAUCCGCGCGGAUUUUGUCCGUUGCCAUAUUUAGAGUUGUGCAUCAAUGGCACCCUCAGGUUCUCAUGCCUGCACAAUUGACCACCAAGGAGCUGCCCUCUCUCUCUCUCUUGAGACCUUGUUUAGUUCCACAUCUGAAAACUUUUCACCCAUCACAUCGAAUCUUUAGACACAUACAUGGAGCAUUAAAUAUAGAUAAAAAUAAAAAACUAAACUUUUCACCCAUCACAUUGAAUCUUUACACAUAUACAUAGAGCAUUAAAUAUAGAUGAAAACAAAAAAAACUAAUUGCACAGUUUGCCUGUGAAUCGCGAGAUAAAUUUUUUAAGCCUAAUUAGUCUAUCAUUGGACAAUAAUUGCUAAAUAAAAUGAAAAUGCUAUAAUUAUUCAAAAACUUUUCGAAACUAAACAAGGCCUGAUAAAUGGAGAGUGGCAAAUAAAUAAAGAUCAACCCUUAUUGGUCAGUCCUUUGUCCUUAGAAUUGUGAUGCUGCCUCUCCCCCCUUCUGUUCUGAUUCUUGUCAUGCCGAUCACUGGCUUGCCAGAUAAAUGUGAAGUUCCCAGGAUCUCCGGGGCCUUCUUUGGGGGAGCAUGGAUUCGCUGGUUUUGCUGGUUUAUAUCUUGAAGAGUAACAUCACUUUCCUCCCGAGACAGUUUGAUGAGAGCAAAGGGGAAUGCUAGCAAGCCAGAAGAAGCCAAAUGACAACACAGAUAAAACUAGAGGUUUGUGUUCCAAGCAAUAAUGUACUGUCAAACUAAAAUACCUUUAGAGACUUUGAGUGUAGAAGGCUUCCUAGUUUCCUGCAUUACGAAACUUUCUGUCGUCGGUGCAAUCUCGCUUGUUCCUAUAGGCAUAGAAAUAAUGCAUAAAUUGCCAAAGGAUGCUAGAUCAGAUCCUGAAGAGUGAUAACACCUUCCUCCUGAGACGGUUUGAUGAGAGUAAAAGGGUAUGUUAGCAAGCCAGAAGAAGCCAAAUGACGAACACACAUAAAACUAGAGGUUUGUGUUCCAAGCAAUAAUAUACUAUCAAACUGAAAUACCUUUAGAGACUUUGAGUGUAGAAGGCUUCCUAGUUUCCUGCAUUACGAAACUUUCUGUCGUCGGUGCAAUCUUGCUUGUUCCUAUAGGCAUAGAAAUAAUGCAUAAAUUGCCAAAGGAUGCUCGAUCAGAUCCUGAAGAGUGAUAACACCUUCCUCCUGAGACGGUUUGAUGAGAGUAAAAGGGUAUGCUAGCAAGCCAGAAGAAGCCAAAUGACAACACUGAUAAAACUAGAGGUUUGUAUUCCAAGCAAUAAUAUACUAUCAAACUGAAAUACCUUUAGAGACUUUGAGUGUAGAAGGCUUCCUAGUUUCCUGCAUUACGAAACUUUCUGUCGUCGGUGCAAUCUUGCUUGUUCCUGUAGGCAUAGAAAUAAUGCAUAAAUUGCCAAAGGAUGCUAGAUCAUUUGAUCUAGACACUCUGGUGGCACCUCCCAGGUGCUAAGUUUGAAUCCCAGUGGGAGCAAAUUUCAGGCUGGGUAGCGAAUUUCAGGCUGGGUUGAAAAAAGUCCCUUCGCCCGUCCUCAUCUCACUUGGGCGACAGAAAGGCCUCCAUGUAUGGAUGGAGGUGGGGGUUUAGGGGUUUUCUCGCCACGCCUCGGUCAAGUUUUAGAAACAAUGCAUAAAUUGCUGAUCGUAAAUACAAAACCAUAGUUCUACGAAUGCACUCAACGGCAUGUUUUCUCACCGUGCCCCGGUCGAGUUUUAGAAAUAAUGCAUAGAUUGUUUAUCGUAAAUACAAAACCAUGGUGCCAGGAAGGCACUCAACGGCAUGGCUACUGGUCAUAAUAGUACAUUGCAGCAAGCCAGCGACUGCCAAUAAACAAUUGUCCAAGAAGGAAAAUGGGAAACUAGAAUGCUCUUUCUGGUAUUACGUCAGAAUUUAAGAAAAUAAUGGAACUGAAAACCCCCGCACAUGUUGGAAGCUGAGUUCAAAACUAAAUGGAAAACUGAUUAUCAAAUGGUACAGAAAAAGUGCUUCCCACUAACCUGAAAUACCAAUUUGAUCAUCAUGAAUAUGUGCAAUGCUCUCCCAGCUAGGCCUACAGCAGAUAGGUUAUGAAUCACGAUUGACAAAUAAACAUAGGCCCAGUAAGGCAAUGUUUGGAUGUAGUCGGAUUCACAUCAAUCCACAUGUGUUGGAGUGGAACUUGAACUAAAUUCUACCCCAGCACAUGUGGAUUGAGGUGAAUCAGACAACGUCCAAACAAGGCCUAUUGUAGUUUAAGUGCAACAAGAAAGGAACUAACACUUGAUCAGGCUCGAUGUACACUGGGUUUCCAUAAUAGUAAUGUUCCAAAUGGUUAUCUUCUUGCUGUUUAGGGUUUAAGGUUUAGGGUUUUAGGGUUAAUGAAAAUACAAACCUAAAUUAUUUUUUGAAAAGUUGGCAGGAGCUCUGCCCUUCAAUUAAGAUUGACAAACCUAAAUUAUUUGAAGUGUACUCCAUAUCACAAUUUAAGCUUUGUGGUUCAUUAGUGCAGAGCAGUGAAACCUCUGCUACCUGAAAAAUGGAUCAACAGAACAAACGUAAUGAUAUGCAAAGACUAGCAAAAGAGAGGGAUUUGAAACAUAGCAAGGACUAGGAGCUAGCGAACAACCUCAGGUGUGACAAAAGGAGAACCAGUUUCAUGACUUGCAACUUUUGACUGACUAGACUCUGAAGGGUACUCCAAUGUGCGCUGCCGCUUUGAUUCCUGAGAUUCCUCCAGGUCCAGGGUCUCCUUGUAGGUGAUGUCUACUCAAGUAACAGACACUUAAGAGAUGCAUUCAAGAGUGGCAACAAUGAUAAUUGUCAGAACAAAAAGCUUCAUACCACCAAGGUCGGCGAAGAAAUCACAGCAGUCUCUCGGUGGGGUUUGAUUCCCAAGCAAUCCCAGCAGCUCAUCAUCAUCUUGAUUGUGGCAAUCCCACAAGAAUUGAGUAGCAUCUGCUGUUUGCCAAUCCCAGAGACUGCUGAAAGCAUUAUAAGAUCAGGUACAAGUAUAAUAGAUUUCCACAAAAGUAGUGCACCGGAAUAGCAAGUUAAUUUAGAAGCAUUCAGUUCAGGGAAGAGUUGAGAGGGCAUUAGUUAAAUCACGCAAACUGAAGACAAGCCAAGAAGCUACUCUGCUAGGGUGUAUGCGGAUUUUGAGCAGGUUUUAGUUUGCCAAGUAAGGUCGGUUAGCUACAGCUACUAAAAGGAACAAUCAAACGCCCAUAAGUGAUGCACCAAAUUAAUUGCCGCAAAUCAGGAAUUACAGCGAACAGCAUUACACACACCUGUCCCAACCCCCCGUGAGCCCAUAUCCUCCCUCCAUCCAAGCUAUGGCUUGUAGUCCCUGGAUCACUCCGCUCGCUGGCGCCCGUCGCCGGAGACGAGGAAGAAGAUCUGCAGGCACAGCAGAUUACGCACGCGAACCCGGUGGAAAGUGUAUGAACGCGAGAGAGUUUGUGUCGCCAACAACCGCGACGUUUUCUGGACUCAAUCUUAUUUAUAUGAGAGAUUACAAAAAUUGGCCACGAUGGACCAACGACGCUGCGACUUCCCCGGAGUCCGCCAUUGCCGCGCCAUCCCACGACUAGACCGAGUAAGCCGCCUCCGCUUCUACUGAGCGCACGCCACGUUCUCGGACUGGCCCGUGCCAUCCCACGGACGAGAGCACACCGCGCGCUACUCUACUGAUCCUACAAUUGAGGGUGAUCUCUGCAUGAACGCAGCAUGCAUCAGACCACGAACUAACUGACGCGCCUGACUCGGUAAACACCAGGCACAAGCUAAACCUUAGCUACAACCGAGAUACACAGGAGGUGAUGAGCGUGGAUUAUCUAACAUGGCUUUGGCCUCGCGAACUGAGCCAGUGUACAAGUUGAUGUAGUCUUCGGCUCGCCGGUGCCCGUCGCCGGAGACGAGGAAGACAACCCUGGUACAGUGGUGAACACACGCGAACACAGUGGACAACUCGUCAAGCUUUGGUGCAUGCUGUAAACAACACAGCUUUUCUUCUACUAUUUUCAGGCAUAAAUAAGCAAAGAUUACAUGGCCACCAUGGCCCUUGAUCCAACUACCGCGCGCAUGCCAUGGACGCCUACCGAUCCGUGCCAUCCCACACCACUACUUGCUAAGUCUACAGCUAGAAGGAAGGAGGGCCUUUGCAUGAAAACAGCAUGCAUCACAGACGCACUCGACUUUGAGCUUGGAUUAUAUGUCUAACAGUUGAACCAGGCAUUCAGGCAAGCUUAAGACAGUGUGCGUGUGUAGUACAAAGCGCCGAAACACUAAUGUAUAACCACUAGCCUGAAGAAUAGGAUCAGCUGAUGACCAGGAGCUCACUUAGUGGCCACUACCUAUACAACCGACUAACCAAAUCAGCUGAUCCUUAUCUAUCGACUGUAUGAGAAAGAAUAGGUCGCUGACAAUUAUGAAGCAAUAAGAUUUUAGUUUGACUGGGUAGAGGAAAUUGUAGAAUGGUACAUACAGAUGCCGGAGCACUGCUGGCCGAUCAAAAGAUCGUGCCCAGUCACCAUGCCUAGAAGCUAGGGGAAGGCACUGCUGGCCCAGUCACCAUGCCUAGAAGCUAGGGAAGGGGAUCGUGUACUCGGUGAUCGUCAAAAAAAAAAAAAAUACAGUGAGCCCACGGCUGAGAAUAAACUAGCCUAUCUCCUUUUUUCAAAACUACUGUAGUCUGCAUGACUACCCUACAGAGACUGGUUUGGAAGGUUGCGCUUCAGCCAGGUUUGGGUUGUUGUCUGGAAGGAGACUGGUUUCAAGGACUGACCUGAUCAACAUGCCGGCAAGGAACAACUCUUUCUUUUUGCCUUGCAUGAGCAAUGGGAAAAUUCAGUAUUGGCUACACGGGAAGCGGGGUAAGUUGCAGUGACAGAUAGGAACAACUCUUUCUUUUUUAGGGCAGUCAAGAAGUCUGAACCCAAAAUUCAGUAUUGGCUACACGGGAAGCGGGAUAAGUUGCAGUGACAGAUAAGAACAACUCUUUCUUUUUUUUGAUGGUCAACAACUCUUUCUUUUUGAGAGCAGUCAAGAAGUCUGAAGCCCCUCCUUUUGGCUAUCCUUGUAACUUUGCCAGCUCUCUGUUGGGCCUGGAAUGUUGAUCUGGCUUUCACCCUUGCGUAUUUUGGUUUGUUUUGCGUUUUGUUCUAGGACUGUUAAGGCUAGUUUUUUUUUUUUUUUUUUGACAAGACUGUUAAGGCUAGUUGUUGGUUGUGAGUCUGCUAGACCUGGCUUGUCUUUUUUUCCUUAUUGUCUAAAACAGUCUACAAAUUGCUGUAUUUCCGUUAACUCUAAUGGGAAUGGGGGAUGGCUCCGGUUUGAAAAAAGGAAGGAAGAAAGAGUGCAGGAACUGGAGAAGGUUAGGGGAUUGUCUCGUGUUUUGUUUUGCAAGCACAUUAAUUACCUAUUCCCCGAUCUGUUAUACUAAUCUUUUAACCUUAUGUGUAAUCGGAAUGGGUGGUCCAUUACUGAAAGGCAAAAUCCCUAUACAAGGCCAAUCUACUUGGUUCUUUAGCUUGAUUUUAAUUUUAGUCAUUACUAGAGGUGUUUUUGGUAUUCCUGUUCCAAUUGCUGAAGUUAUACUCUGCAUCUGGUUACUGCAUAGCUUACUCUGUAUUGCACUGAUUCUUAAGUUUCAAUUGAAGAUUGCUGGGAAGCACAACUUUCUGAUCUUUGAAGACCGCAAGUUUACUGACAUUGGGAACACAGUAACUAUGCAAUCUGAAGGGUGAGAAAAAGCAAUUAUAAACUAUUUGUCUUUACUUGGGUUCAGAGGUAUAUUCUGCAUCUUAGGCUGGGCGGAUAUUAUUAAUGCUCACAUAGUUCCUGGAGCUGGGAUUUUAGAUGGUUUGAAGCUGAAGGUACUUUAUGACAUAUAUGCAUAGGCCUUAUUGUGUUCCUCACCCAGAUCAUGCAUGGUUUUCUUCUUACAAAGCACGCCUAGAACAUUAACUUGUGUUUUGAUCCUAUCUCACAGUAGCCUUAACUUAUUUUACAAUCUUGUGUUUAGGUGGCUUCCCAUUGAUGUUACUAAUAUUUGGACGACCCUCUUUGGAGCCAUUACUUUCUCCAAAUUCACACUCGAAUGUCCCUGUAUUUCAACCGUCCAGUUAUCUUGCCUUGCCACUCAUGAGCAGGUUGGCUGUCGCUGCCUCGCUGGGCCGUUUCUGCGUUGUGAUCGUCAAUGCGCGCGAGUCACCGCGGCCCGCGGGAGUCAUCGGCGCGCCGCGCGCUGCUCCGGUUUCGGACCGGAAGAUUUCCGGUGGCAACCGGCGUCCCGCGUACGCCCGAAUCGGCCCGCGCGAACGACCGCAAAAAAAUCGGGGUGCGCUCGCGCGGACGCGGCCUUCUCGCUUCUCUUGCUCUUUGACACCGCAAGAACGACGACGCAGAAGGGGAUGAGGCCGCGGCUGCCCAUGGACCGCCACCUCCGCUCCCUGGCACACCAACCCAAGGCCACGCGCACGCGCCAGGGGUACGGGUACCUAGCUGCAUCAUCACACGCCCCUUUCUUCAUCCAGCAGUACGUGUUGGGUGUUGCUCUCUCCCUUCAGCGCGUGGCGCCGCCGGAGCGUCUAUUGUCCUCCUCGACGACUCCUGGGUUGGGCAAGCCCCAGUGCGGACGGGAUCUCCCGGAGGGACGGAACCCGGACCCGCGACGCGACGUUGCCCGAGCUAGGUGCCAUCUCCGUCGCGCACACUGCCUAUGCCGAUGCCGCUGGCCCACGCCACCCUAUGCAGCACUUGGCUCGCCCAUGGUAGGUGUCGCCGCUGGGCGCUGGCGUUGUCAUGCCAAGAGAACACAACAGACCGACAGCCGAGAAGGUUAUGUGCUUUUGGAUCGAAGUCCGAACGAAGGGGUCGCUGGUGGUGGUGGCGUUGUCAUGCCCAGAUAGUAUAUGCUCAAAUUCAGAUGUUGGGCGUGGCUAGGUAUAUUCGCCUCUCCUCCCGCUCCCAAACAUUAAACAAGUGUUCCCAAAUUUUAACAGAAUUCUAGAUGUACGGUUAGCCACUAGUUGGACAUCCUCCUAUGGAUCAAGAUUCAUCAUACUCCUACUUUGUGAUAUCCACAGUUAAUAUACAAGCAACACCCCACAGUACAGAAUGCCUGUCAGGAUGCAUACCAGCUAUCCAGGACACAGGCCUGAACCACAGAAAAGUAAAUGGAAUUUAAUGCACUAACUCCUUUAAUUUUUUUUUUUGUAUAUAUUAUCAUUUAGCCACAUGUCAUAAAUACACCGGAAGAAUGCUGAACCUUUGAAGAAAGAGUUUGCAUCUACAGUGAUUCAACACCAAAACUGGAAGGAAUAAAAGUAAUAAUUGGAAAGUUACAAAGAAUCAAUGGCAAUCAUAGUUUCUCAGGCCUCUCUGUUCCUUCAACUGUGGAUCAAUGGCACCCACAGGUUCUCAGGCCUGCACAAUUGACCACCAAGGAGCUGUGGAUCAAUGGCACCCUCAGGUUCUCAGGCCUGCACAAUUGACUACCAAGGAGCUGCACCCCUCACUUCUGAUAAAUGGAGAGUAGCAGAUAAAUAAGGGAUCAAAAGCAUUCUCAGGCUUCCAGAGAACCGGUCAGCCCUUUGUCCUUAGAAUUGUGAUGCUGCCUCUCCCCCCUUCUGUUCUGAUUCUUGUCUUGCCGAUCACUGGCUUGCCAGAGAAAGCUGAAGUUCCCAGGAUCUCCGGGGCCUUCUUUGGGGGAGCAUGGAUUCGCUUGUUUAUAUCCUGAAGAGUAACAUCACCUUCCUCCCAAGAUGGUUUGAUGAGAGUAAAAGGGUAUGCUACUGAUGUAGUUAAGUUUUGCUUCACCUUAACUGUUGAAGCACCUAUCAAGCCAGAAGAAGCCAAAUGACAACACCGAUAAAACUAGAGGUUUGCAUUUCAAGAAAUAAUAUACUGUCAAACUGAAAUACCUUUAGAGACUUUGAGUGUAGAAAGCUUCCUAGUUUCCUGCAUUAUGAAACUUUCUGUCAACGGUGCAAUCUCGCUUGUUCCUGUGGGCAUAUAAAUAAUAGGUAAGUUGCUGACCACAAACACAAAAGCAUGGUGCCAGGAAGGCACUCAACGGUGUGGCUACUGGUCAUAAUAGUAUUGCAGCAACUGCCAAUACACAAUUGUGGAAGAGGAAAAUGGGAAACUGCUCUUUCAGAUAAGUUUAGGAAUAUAAUGGAACUGGAAACUCGCACAUAUGUUGGAAGCUGACUUGAAAAACUAAAUAGAAAAUUGAUUAUCAAAUAGUACAGAAAAAAAUGCUUCCCACUGACCUGAAAUACCAGCUUGAUCAUCAAUAUUUGCAAUGCUCUCCCAGCUACAAGGCCUACAGCAAAUAGGAUAUGAAUCACGAUUGACAAAUAAACAUAGGCCCCAGUAAAGUGGUCAAAGUGCAACAAGAGAGGAACUAACACUUGAUCAGGCUCGAUGUACACUGGGGUUCCAUAAGAGCAAUGUUCAAAAUGGUUAUCUUCUUGCUCAUAGGGUGCUUCAUUUGAAUUCGUAUCUGAUGUCAAAUUUUAAUUAGCAAACAGAAACACUAUUUAAGCAUAUAUAAUGAAAAUACGAACCUAAAUUAUUUGAAGUGUACUGCAUAUCACAAUUUAAGCUCUCUGGUUCAUCAGUGCAGAGCAAUGAAACCUCUGCUACCUGAAAAAUGGAUCAACAAACAAGCGUAACUGUGAUAUGCAAAGAAUAGCAAAAGAGAGGGAUUUGAAACAUAGCAAGGACUAGGAGCAAGUGAAAAACCUCAGAUGUGACAAAAGGAGAACCAGUUUCAUGACUUGCAACUUCUGACUGACUAGACUCUGAAGGGUACUCCAAUAUGCGCCGCCGCUUUGACUCCCGAGAUUCCUCCAGGUCCAGGGUCUCCUUGCAGGUGAUGUCUACUCAAGUAACAGACACUUAAGCGAUGCAUUCAAGAGUGUCAGCAAUGAUGAUUGUCAGAAAAAAAAGGCUUCAUACCACCAAGGUCGGCGAAGAAAUCACAGCAGUCUCUCAGUGGGGUUCGAUUUCCAAGCAAUCCCAGCAGCUCAUUGUCAUCUUGAUUGAGGCAAUCCCACAAGAAUUUAGUAGCAUCUGCUGUAAAAAAAGGGUGAGACAUAAUGGGAUAGCAAGUCCAAGAAGAUACUCUAGAGUUAAUUUGUGACAUAGGUUAUGGAUGUGACUGAAAGUACCAUGACUUCCAUCGCUAGGUUCGCAGUGCUCUCCUGUUUGCCAAUCCCAGAGACUGCCAAAAGCAUCACAAGAUCAGGUACAAGUAUAAUAGAUUGCCACCGAGGUAGUGCACUGGAAUAGCAGUUUAAUUUAGAUUCAUUCGGUACAGGGGAAGAGUUGAGAGGGCAUAAGUUAAAUCAAGCAAACUGAAGACAAGCCAAGAAGCUUCUCUGGUAGGGCCGUAGGGUGUAUGUGGAUUUUGAAGAGAUUUUAGUUUGCCAUGUAAGGAUGAUUAGCUACUAAAAGGAACAAUCAGACGCCCAUAAGUGAUGCAUCAAACUAAUUGCCACAAAUCAGGCAUUGCAACGAACAGCAUUACACACACCUGUUCCAGCCCCUGUGAGCCCAUAUCCUCAGCCUCACUCUCAACUGAGCAAAUGUACAUGUUGAACCAGGCAUUCAGGCAAGCUUAAGACAGGUCAUGAAGCUAUAGGAUUUUAGUUUGACAUGUAAGGUCGAUUGGCCACUGAAACAGAGAAUCAAAGGCCAGCAGCUAUUUACAAACGACCCAACAACUUAAUUAUCAGCGAUCAAGCAUUAUAGCGAACAGUACGCACGCGCCCAUUCCAGAGUGCGCACUAUUGCAAGAGCAAAUCCCAAUAAGCGGAUCAAAUUCAAUUCAACGUAGAACAAGUACCAGGUCAGAUCGCCGCCGCGUUAGGAUUUCUCUACUGUUGUGUUUUUUUUAAAAAAAAAAGGCUCCACUGUUAGAUCGGCGACAUGGGCGACCAACAGCCGCCAAAAUCGGCCGGCCGGCAAGCCUGCUCGAGGCCUCGUAUCAUCCGACAGCGGCGCAUCGGCCCGACCCAAAACCAAACACCCCAAUCCCCCACCAAGUCCCCGCAAAACACGGAUCAGCAACAAACGCAAGACGAGACAAGCCCUGAAAGAUACGGAAUGACGAACACACACGACCCGAGUCCCUCUCACCCACAUUUGGCCAUCGCUUCCACCGGCGGCGGCGGCGGCGGCGCCGCCAUGGUACGACUGGUCCAUCAAGCCGCCGCAACUAGCCGUUGCAACCCUCCUCGCACCCUCGGCAAUCGGAUUUGAGUGUCUACUGUGCGCGAUGCGACCGAGGUAUCCUACUGUACCCGACUGCUGCUGCUGCGCCUGCGGUUGCGCCGCAUUUGUAGGCCGAGGGAUGGAGAAGGGGGGGUGAGUCAAAAAGGGGAAGAAAUGGGAAGGUGGGGGAGGUGAGCAAGAGGCAGAUGGGCUGACUGAGAGAGAAGGCCGUUGGCCACAACCCCCUCGGCCUUCGCGCCGCGUGCUCAGCUCGCUCAAAAACCCUCGCUCGAAGCAGGCGCGCUCGGAGAAGGAAGAUGCGGCUGGCGCACUGGGGUCUUGCUGUCUGGGUUAGAAGGCCUUGUGCGGUGGGCUGUUGCGUUUUUGGGCCUUACUAAUGGUUUGGGCUCAGGCCUUGUUUAGUUUGCAAAAUUUUUAGGUUUUGGCUACUGUAGCACUUUCGUUUUUAUUUGACAAAUAUUAUCCAAUCAUAGAGUAACUAGGCUCAAAAGAUUUAUCUCACAAAUUACAGGUAAACCGUGCAAUUAGUUUUUAUUUUCGUCUAUAUUUAAUGCUUCAUGCAUGCGACCAAAGAUUCGAUUUGACAGGGAAUCUUGAAAUUUUUUGCGAACUAAACAAACCAAGGUUAGGUUUUGUUUUGGGCCGUACCUGUCCAAAAGGUUGUCGUAGGGCCUAGGAAUGGCAACGGGUACGUACCCGAUGUACUUGCCACCCAUAUCCGCACCCGCCAGAUCAAAACCUAUUCCAUCGGGUUACCCGCGAUAAGAAAUUCAUUCCGUACCCGCACCCGACGGGUAUUCCAUACCCGAAAAUAUACCCGAGUUCAAAAGAAAUAUAACAACUUUCAGCAAGUUAAAUAUCACAACUUAUAGGAAAUUAAACAUAACAACUUCCAGCAAAUUAAUAGCAGCACUAGUAGCACACCAGCCGCUCAACACUUCCCACGUUCAGUCAAUCAGUUCAUGGGCUAUAUGGGCUAAAUUGCUUAGGUUGCUUAUUCAUUUUGCGGGUAUUUCUUACCCACGGGUACGCGGGUAUGGGUACUACUAUUCCACGCCCGUACCCGCCAUACCCGUUGGGUAAAGGAUUUCGCCCGACAACGUAUCUGCGGGUACAAAAUCCAUUCCAUACCCGCGUCUUUAUCGGGUAAAACCCGUCGGGUACUCGGGUUUCGGAUACCCAUUGCCAUUUUGAGUAGAACCUAUGGCCAAAUGCUCGGACAAUACAAAGUACCCACAUACUCCGUGUAUCUGAUAUGAUGCUCCUCUUAAGGCCUUGUUUAGUUCAUCAUCAAAAUCCAAAAAAAAUCAAGAUUUUGUAUAAUCUUUAGACACAUAUAUGAAAUAUUAAAUAUAGACGAAAAUAAAAACUAAUUACACAAUUUACCUGUAAUUUGCUAGACGAAUCUUUUCAACCUAGUUAGUCUAUGAUUGGACAAUAUUUGUCACAUACAAAUGAAGUGCUACAGUACUUAUUUCAAAAAAAAAUUGGAACUAAACAAAGCCUAAAUUAAAUGGCGACGAUUCUUCAAAAGAGAAAAAAAAUAAAAUCUGAUGCUCCUCUCAAAAAAACAUUAAUAUUUAUCGUACUAUGUACCAUUGAAUUUAUUAUAAAACAUAUUUUCAUAGUACAUUUAUUUAUAUAUGGCCGUGCAGCCCGUGCCGCCCGGUGGCCCGGCCCGUUCCAACGUUGGCCGAUAACGGCUCGGUAAAAAUAAAAUAUUGAUGCAGUUAUGACUUGUAUAUAUGUGUUGUUAAUUGCUAUACUGAUGAAAGUGAUGAAAUGUUUCAACACUUGUGAAAAUAAGUUGUUGUGUUGGUUUAUUGAUGGGUGUGCGGGCUGGCACGACACGAAAAUCGACCUACGGGUCGUACCUUGGGCCGAAAGCUAGACACAAAGUCCAUAGAGGCACGACCUGGCCUGUUGGACAUACAUACAUUUAUUUGACAUCAUAAAUAUUAAUAUUUUUUUAUAUAUUUAGUUAAACUUUUGCUACUCUCAACGAGAAUGCACCUAUAUAUAAAUAUACAAGCCGGCAAUGGAACUUAAAAAAAAACUACUUGAAGACAAGAGCAGGAGUGCAAGACGCAGCUCAGAUACAGACGCUGCUCCCACUUGUGCAGCGCGGCAAGGAAUCCCCGGUGCAAAGUACAAAACCGUCGAACGCACGACCGAGCGCAGCCGCCGAAGCCAGGCCAGAGACCAGACAGACAGCUAAGACGAAAGCUCGGUGUGCACACAAAUUCCACAGUGACAAACGACCCGAAAUAAUUUCCACGACGACACAAUCCUCACACGGCAAGAGGAACACUACGGCAGGAAAUCAAUGCAUACUCCAACUUGCUUUGAGCAUCUGCAUCCGGAAUACCACUUGUUUGGCCAUGGUUGAAAGUACCAUUCAUUGAUUUGUUGUGAAAAAAACACUGUUGAAUGGUUGAUACAUUCGACAGAUAAGAUCGAGCGAGCGAUACGAUAGGCCAUAUGGCGUGCUAACGUGUGUGUACUCUUCAUUACUCAUCUACGGCUCGUUUUACAGGGAGACCUACGUACGUGUUUAUUUUAUAUUUAUAUAUAUAUAUAUACACACACACUGGAUGUUGCGUGCCUACACUAGCAGCCGGAUCGGCUCGGAGUAGUGUUUUAUAUAUAUAUAUAUAUAUAUAUAUAUAUAUAUAUAUAUAUAUAUAUAUAUAUAUUCUCUUCUAGAAUAAGAUUGACAGUGUCAUGUUGUCCCGUUUUUUUGGUCAAUAGAAAGAAAAGAUAUAGACAGAGAUUAACGGCGCGGGUUGUGCUUCGAAACCAGCUACACCCUCGUACUCUCUCCGUCCCAAAAAGAGUGACGUUUUUUACUUUCAGAUAUCGUGUUUGACCGUUCGUCUUAUUCAAAAAUUUUAUGUAAAUUAUAAAAUAAUUUAAUCAUGGGUAAAGUAUCUCUAAUGAUAAAAUAAGUCUUAACAAAAUAUAUAAUGUUUAUGUAAAAAAUUUGAAUAAGACGAAUGGUCAAAUAAGAUGUCUGAAAUUCUAAAACGACACUCUUUUUGAGACAGAGGGAGUAUAUAAGAUGUAAGCAUUUUUUAAUCAUGUCCUAUAAUAUAAGACGUGUCCUCUCACAGACAUUAAUACACUACUAGUAGUGUUGAGAGAGAUAAUUAAAUAUAUUCUUAGUAUUUGAACUAGAAGUAGUUAUGCCUUAUAUUUAUAUACUAGGACGGAGGGAGUAUAUACUAUAAUCCAACACUAGCUCCAUUAUUGACCCAUUGAUCCUUCUGUCUAAUGUUAACGAGUUAUAGCUGUGAGUCAAUAAACAAAACCAUUGUUGACCCAUUGACCCUUCUGUCCAUAACGUCUUUGAAGGUACGUUAAAAAUAAGAAGUUUCGUUCUUCGAGCUAGACUUGUUCGUCUUUCGAUCGAAAGGACAGGCCGUGGAUUGAUCCAUUAGAGAGCGUGAUGUGCGUAUAGACGAUGGCGAGCGAUGUGACCUGUUGCCGAACCGGCCGAGACUUUCGACGAAAUGCGACCCCCCCAGCCCACCCCAAGUGAACAAUAAUAUGCAUAACACGACGUCCACAAGAGAAAACGAUGGAAAUAAUGCUGACAGCCAUUAUAUAAUGUCGUAUGUCGUACUACUAACUACUCUCAGCUAGCAAACCGGUCCGAGUCCGCUCCGCUGGCCAAACAUACCCGGCCCGUUUCCACUUGAAGACUCAUAUUUUGAGGUCUUUUGAUUUCUAUACAAAACAGACCACUAUAUAUAAUCAUAGAAUUAGAAGAUGACUACUGGAUGACCCACUUGAAGAGACUCAUCUUUUGAGCACUUUGAAUUUUAAAAAACAUACCACACUAUAUAAUCAUAAAAUUAGAAGGUGACUACUAAAGUUGUUGAUUAUUAGUGCUUAUCCUUUAACAAUUCCGACUGCUUCAAGUACUGAAAUUAGUUUGAUGUUGUGUAUUUUUCUAGGAAUUUUGUUAGUGUAAAAAAAUAAAUUAUGGUAUAAACAUAAAGUAACAUAUAACUUUUGAUCAAAUUUAAGAUGUUUUGAUUCUUCAAGAUUCUUGAAAUGACUUAUAAUUAAUUUGGAAUGUAAGGAGUAGAAGUUAAGUAGGGUAUGUGCCCUUACUGAGUGCUUCUUGAGUUUGGCUUAGAUUGAAGUAGUAUAUAUAAUUUUCUCAGAAAACAACUCAAACUAUAACAUUAGAAGAAGCCACCACAUGCAUUAGUUGAAAAAAUUAAAAAAGUAACCUACAUGGUUGAUUUUAUAGGGUGUGAUUGGUUUGCUAACGAGGAGAGCCUGCCCCGCUCCUACCUGCCAGGCUAAGCUAGGAUGACAGGCCAACUGCAUGCAAGACCUUGAUGUUUGAUUCAUGGAAUGGAUAUAUAUACAGGUUGAAUACAUCAAUUAUUAGAGGAUAGCUACAUUCAAAAUUGAAAAUAGAUUAAAAAUUGGUGGUUUCUAUCAUGUCAAAACACCCAUAUAAAAGUUAGUGUAUUAUAAGAACAAUUAAAAACUGACAUAUCAUCCUAUGUUAAUUGAAUUAAAGAAAAUAGACACGGUUGAGAUAUAUGUGAAAUAACUAAGAUGUAUAACUAGAAAAGAACUCUAUUUAGAAUGUUUGUAUGUAGCUAAGAUAUGGAGCAAAUCCAACAAUUAGACAAAUGAUGUUUACCAAUCUCAUGCAUAUAAGGGUUUUGAUUAGUUAUGGUAGCAUUAGAUUUGUUUUAAGCAUACAACAGAGAGAUGCAUAUGAUGAGAUGGAGUAUGUCGUCUUUAGCGACGUACAUGUUUGGUUAGGUAGACAUUUUGGAGACUUAAGUAGGGUCAAUUGGCUAGAGACAACAAAAUCGCAUAUGGAUAAAUAGACCAUGGUGACAUAACGCUUAUAUAGAUAACAAAAAAAGUCUAUCAAGUCCAUCCCUGCAAUUAGUGUGGAACUGCUGAUCAACUAUAACAUUAAAAUUUUAGUAAAAAAACUAUAACAUUAAGACGAAUCUUAAAAAACUAUAACACUAAAACAUUUUUGAUAUCUGUGCAACAUCAUGUUUGUGAGCAUAAUGAUAAAUAGAAAUAGUACCACAUUGUCUACUAAAGUGGGGUCUUAAUCAUAUGUACCUUAUAUAAUUAGACCAUAACACUCAAUGCAAUACAACCAAUAUUUCACUAACUCUAUCCUCCUUUAUGGUUUCAUUCACCUAGAUUCAAAUCUUAACCCUAGCGGCGCAGCCAGUUGCCGUAGAAACCCUCCAAAUUAAAAGAGACCGAGAGCAACUUCCCCAAAGAUUCUCUUUAUAUCCGGAAUAUAAAUAUUUUGAUGAAAGAAAAAACCUCCAACACAUGAAAAUGCUCUGAUAUUGGCGUUUUGCCGAGGACACGACGUUAUUGCACUGAUGACCAAGGCGGCAACGUCCAUUACGGUUAGAAGAGACGACCACACGCAUUUGGGUCUGAUUUCGGUCGUCCCCAUGUACGCACGUCACUGUUGCCCCGUCCAACACUAGUCCUCAUCUCCAAGCCUGGCCGCGUUCGUGACGUCGUGGCUUCGUGCAGUGCCAUGCUGCUCCUCUAUAUAAGCAGAUUCACAUUCUGAAGCUGCAACUCACUGCAUCUCAGCCUGGGAGUGGGAAGCAUGAAACAGCACACCAUGACAUCUAUCUCGAAGUUUCUGCUUCUCCUGCUGUGCAGCUAUCUCUGUCUCGUUGCUCACGCAGCAGACCAUCGCACACACAAGGUUCUGUCCGUUGGCUCUCUCAAGUCUGCCGCCACCUGCUCCGAGCCCAAAGGUGCAGUUAUAGUGUCCGUGAACGCACCUGCAUUUCCACACUUGGUUACUAGUAGUAUAUUUUUGUGACAGUGUUGUUGUUGUUUCAGCGACUCCUCCAUCAACCAGCGGCGGCAUCACGGUGCCGUUGCACCACCGGCACGGGCCAUGCUCGCCUGUACCCUCCAACAAGAUGCCCGCCAGCUUGGAGGAGAGGCUCCAGCGUGAUCAGCUUCGAGCCGCCUACAUCAAACGGAAGUUCUCUGGCGCCAAGGGUGGCGACGUCGAGCAAUCGGACGCCGCGACCGUGCCGACCACGCUGGGCACCUCCCUGAGCACGUUGGAGUACGUGAUCACCGUUGGCAUCGGCUCCCCGGCCGUGACCCAGACCAUGUCCAUGGACACCGGCAGCGACGUGUCGUGGGUGCAGUGCAAACCGUGUUCGCAGUGCCACUCCGAGGUGGACUCGCUCUUCGACCCCAGCGCGUCGAGCACCUACUCGCCCUUCUCCUGCAGCUCCGCCGCCUGCGUGCAGCUCAGCCAGAGCCAGCAGGGGAACGGGUGCUCCAGCUCCCAGUGCCAGUACAUUGUCAGCUACGUCGAUGGCUCGAGCACGACCGGGACCUACAGCUCCGACACGCUCACGCUGGGGUCCAACGCCAUCAAGGGCUUCCAGUUCGGGUGCAGCCAGUCCGAGUCCGGCGGCUUCAGCGACCAAACCGACGGGCUCAUGGGGCUCGGCGGCGACGCGCAGUCUCUCGUGUCCCAGACGGCGGGGACCUUCGGCAAGGCCUUCUCGUACUGCCUCCCGCCGACUCCGGGCUCGUCCGGGUUCCUCACUCUGGGAGCGGCAAGCCGUUCGGGUUUCGUCAAGACGCCGAUGCUCAGGAGCACCCAGAUCCCGACGUACUACGGCGUGCUCCUUGAGGCCAUCAGGGUGGGAGGUCAGCAGCUCAACAUACCCACCUCGGUCUUCUCGGCCGGGUCGGUCAUGGACUCCGGGACAGUCAUCACGAGGCUGCCGCCGACGGCCUACUCGGCGCUGUCGUCGGCGUUCAAGGCCGGGAUGAAGAAGUACCCGCCGGCACAGCCAAGCGGCAUCCUGGACACUUGCUUUGACUUCAGCGGCCAGUCCAGCGUCAGCAUACCGAGCGUCGCACUAGUCUUCUCCGGGGGCGCCGUGGUCAACCUCGACUUCAACGGGAUCAUGCUGGAGCUGGACAACUGGUGCCUCGCCUUCGCGGCCAACAGCGACGACAGCUCCUUGGGCUUCAUCGGCAACGUGCAGCAGCGGACGUUCGAGGUGUUGUACGACGUCGGCGGUGGUGCUGUGGGGUUCAGGGCAGGGGCUUGCUGAUCGGCGCGCGGGCGCCCAGCCACCCACAUGAAAGUGUGAGGCCAAACCAUCUCCUAUUUUACUUCGAUUUUGUUAUUUUGUCGAUUGGAAGUGUGCAAACUACCAACCAAAGAUAAUUGUAAAUUUCCCCAUAGUUUAUGAAUAUAAACAAUAAUAAUAAUAUAUUACGUUGUUUUCACGAUGCUUGUUUUAAUUAUUAUGCAAUAUCUUUUGACAAUGACUGAUGGUACUACCAAUUAUUGGUCUAUCUUUUAUGAUUAUGGUGAAUACAUGUACACUUCCCUAUUUUUGCCGUGCGUCUAUAUAUAUGGUGACUGCAUAUCGAUUACUCACCAUUGUCUUCCAACGAAUGGCGCCCUCCAACGAAACCUCUGCUUAACUCUCACUAGACACGGAAGAAAAAAGAGAUCUUAAAAGUUCUCAUACUCCUCGUAAAAAAAAAAGUUCUCAUACUUCCAUCCUAAAUAAUGAAAAAUUGAUAUACUAUUACCAAUUGGAGGUCCCUAAUGGAGAGCCUACAUAUUAACUCUCGCUAGAUACACUAGAAAAAAGAAAUAAAUAAUGGAAAUUCUCAUAAAACCAGAAAGAUUUUUUUCAUUAAUUCGAUGGGCACUAAUUGUAACUAUUAGAUCUUCAAAAAGGUGGCACACCUUUGUCAUUAUGAAAAAUGGAAAGUAGCCCUCAAAAUUACUCACCUAUACUUUUAGAGCCACUCCUGUUGACCCACAUCCCAAUUUUAAGGGCUUAGUGAUAAAACAUCAAGCUCUAAUAGAGCUCACUCCGCCCUCUCGAAUCUCAUGUCAUGGACCCACCACUCCCUCCCACCGCUUUCGAUUCUGGCCUCCAAAAUGCCCUCCCAUUGUCUAGGCUCUCCCACUCCCCUCUUGUUGAAUUUAAGCUCCUAGCAGGAACCCUAGCUUAGACCAUAGCAUCUAAGUGUCAUCACCCUUUCUUUCGAUCUCCCUUGAGGGCUACCUUAUAGUGAUCUCCCUUUACUGCAAGUCGUUUUACUUGUGAGUUUGCCCUCCUCGCAGGACACUCCAAGUCUCCAACCAAGAGCUCAUCCUCCCGGUCAACCUUCCUGACCACGAGUUUGCUCUCCUAGUUUGUCUUUGACGAUGUCCUCCAAAUAGGCCACCCCCAACUAUGAACUCGUCACCCUGAUCGAGCUCCCCUCCCUUUAAGUCUCCCUGGCAGUGAGCUUGCCCUCUCGAUUAGCCUCCUCGACUGUGAGCUCACCCUUUCGGAAGGAGUCCUUGACCAAGCUCCUUUACCUCGAGGUCGCUCGCCCCCAUGCUCAAGCUUAUGCACCUUGCCCCCCAUGUUAAAUAUUUCUUUUCUCGAAUAUUGUUUUCAAGAUUUGAAUGGAUUGUUCUAAAUAUUUCAAAUUAUUUGCACUUGGUGAAUCUGAUUGUGAAUGCCAUGUCAAUUUAUAUGCUAAUCUGUUUGACAAUUGUAGAACAUUUUUGGUCAUGCCAUUUUGUUUGUCAAUUGUGAGAAAUAUCUAUGUCAAUUUGUUCGACAGUUUGGUUGCCAUUUCUUAUUUUCAUAGACUCUACGUCAUGGUGUCGACGAAAGCUAGUCGGCAGUCUACCUCGGGGUAUACUCACGGUAGUAGAUUAUCGGCAGACAGGUGCGCAAGCUACGAACUUGAUAGUGACGCAAGACAUAGACAAGAUUUUUAUCCAGGUUCGGCCGCCGUGUGGGCGUAAUAUCUACGUCCUGCGUCUGAUUAUAUUGGUUUGUGUUGAGUUGAGAUGAGAUGUCCUAGGGGGGUCCCUUGCCGCUCUUUAUAUAGUCCAGAGGGCAGGGUUACAGAUCUGGAAACUAAUCCUAGCCGGUUACAAUUGCCAUAGAUAACACGAUAUCAAUUCCUAUUCUAACCGACUAGAAUAUGGCUUGAUCCCGCGUCUUGUUUCCUUGCGUGAAACCCGAGCAGUUGAAUCAAGCCUCGAACUGUCUCGUGAUGGGCCAAGCCUCCUGACCCAAGUCUAGCCUAAGGGUAUAGGGUUUGUAUCCCCACACAUGGUGGUCUGUGUGAUUUAUUGUGCCAUGUUAUUUUAAUUUAAUUUACAGUGUUUGAAUUCAUGGAUUUGAAUACUAGUCAAGUAUGAAGUCAUAAUAUUGUAGUUAGGUAGUGUCAAAUAAAUAGGACAUAAAAGUAUAUGUGCAAAAAGAGAAAUAGAAGUAAGAACCCUGAUUUGAGAGCCACUGAUUGAGUUGAGCUCAGCAAGAAUGAAUUGGUUGUACGAUAGGCCAUAUGACAAUCAAACGUACUAUCCCGAGAUGGAUAGCAAAUUUUUUAUUUGAUCAUGGAAGUAGAACUCCGUUAUGUAGAGACUGAUGCCAAAUCUUUGGCAACCAUGUCCUGGAUACAAGAGGGAAACAAUUAGCAUGGCAUAGGGUAACAUCGUCCAAAGGUCAUCCUCCAUCUAGAGGAAGCGCAAGAUCCAUUUUAGAUGAGUUGGGCCGCCCGAACCAUGGAAGAAGGGUGGAACAACGCACUCAAAGUAGGGGAGCUAAAAAAUAGGGUAUGAUUAGGCUAGGCUUUUGCUCGAGUUGCUUUUGUGAAACAUACUAUAAGUAACCCCUAAAUCUAUGUAUGUCUAAACUACCCACCAUGCUAUUAUGACAGAUAAUCUUACUGGUCCCUUUAAAUUUAUAUCUCAACUACCACUUCUUCCGGUGAAAAAAAAAAUAUCUCCUUAAAUCUAAAUAUAAAUUACAAACAUGGAUAUGUUUAUAAAUAUAAAUUACAAACAUAAAUAUGUUUAAAUAUAUUCUAUGUUUCUAAAUCCACUCCUAUUAUCAUUAUUAACUAAUAUUAAAACACAAUAUUAUUUUUAUGCACAAAUGAAACAUUAGAACAUCUCCAAGAGACUCUCCAUAUCCUUUCUGAAUGAUAGGAAAUUAGGAAUAGAGAUUUUGGUGAAAAACUAUCCUCCAACAGCUUAUCUAAUUCAAAUAUAGUGAUCUUUUAUUCUGGAUUUUUCGCUAGUCAAAUAUAGAAGAUGAGAAUGACUCAUAAAGUAUGAUAUAUAUAAAAAAUUGUUAGAGAGUGAAGAGAUCUUAUACUCCUAUAUAGCUAAACCCCACUACCUAUUUCUCUCAACAUGCAAGCUAUCCAACUAAGCAAUCCACUAUUACUCAUAAUUAAAAAUCCGUAGUGUCCACAUCAGCAAGUCACUAUAUUUCUCUCAACAUGCAAGUUGUCGAACUAAACAAUGCACUAUCACAUAUAACUAAAAUCCACUAGCCAUACAAUUGUAAUUUCCACUCAUCAAGUAAUGUAAGUAUUUUGUUUGUCCACAUCAUUAUAUCAUGUAAUCCACCGUAUUCCCAUAGCAACGCACGAGAUAUUUUUCUAGUUUAAAAUAUUUUUAAUACAAAUAACUCUUUAAAUGGUGAUUUAGAGAGGCUGCGCGUGAUAUGGAUCGCCAUUUCGUGAAGAGUCCAAUCUUACCCAGGAGCCACCACUACAAAAGAACAGGGCAGAGUAGGCCCACACGCCCUCCUAACACUGCCCUAACUCGAUUAGCAGCCCAUCGUCUAGCUAGUUUGACAGCGAGACAUGAGUCGUAGAUAGAUCACCUUUGUAUAAAGCAAUGCCGAAUCAGUUGGAACGUGUCAUGUGUCAACACGUUUACGUCUCUAGUUAGCCUCCUAAUGCCACCAAAGAAAGAACUUCCACCGCUACUGUGUACUAUGGUAUACGCUCUCCUGUAGUUUGUCUGUACUAUCAUGUACAGUGUGUUAUGUAACUCUGUAUGUAUGAUGUAUCUCUAUACUUUCGUGUACGUACGUGCGUACACGCAUAUACUUGUUAUACUACUAGCUAUCUGUUAUCAGAAGCCGUCGCCGACUGUAAAUCGAUGGAUCAGCAGGAGCUGGGUUUGAACCCGACGGAGGUGCCGUCGAUGCGCACCUCGAACGACCGCUGCUGCACGUUGCCGAGGAUGGCCAUGCCACCGUCACUGCCGCUGGGCGCGAACGCGAGGCAGCCGAACGACAGGAUCCCGUCGGCGCCCAGCGUCACGGUCGCGCCGCCGCUGAACGUGAGCGCCACGUUCGGGAGCGUCACGGUGCCGUACCCGGAGAAGUUGUAGCACGUGUCCAGGAUCCCGGUCGCCGGCGCGGACGGGUAGCCGUACGAGGCCAUGCCGCUGCGGAACGCGGACCGCAGCGCCGCGUACGCGGUCGGGGGCAGGCGGGUGAUGACCGUGCCUGUGUCCACCACUGUCCCGCCCGCGAACACCGACGACGGCACGCUCAGCUGCUGCCCGCCCACGCUGAUGCCCGUCAGCAUCACGACGUAGUAGGUCGCCGCGUUCGGCGACGACAGCAGCUGCGUCGUGGAGAAGCCCGGCGGCGCCGCGCCGGACGGCCCGCCCAGCGUCAGGUACCCCGUGGUGGAUGGCCUCGUCGGGAGGCAGUAGGAGAAGACCCCGCCGUACGUGCCCGCCGUCUGCUCGACGAGCGACGCCUCCUCGCGGCCGAGGCCGAGGAGCCCGUCGUUGCCGGUGAACCCGCUCUGCGCGUGCCCGCAGCCGAAGAAGAAGCCCCGCACCGCGUCGUUCGGCGACAGAGUCAGCGUGUCGGAGCUGUACACGCCCGUGGUCUUGGACCCGUCGCCGUAGCUGACCACGUACCCGCACUGCGCCGCCGAGCAGGAGGACGCGUAGAUGCCCAGCCCCCCGCACACGGGCCCUCCGCACGGCACCGCGGCGUAGGACGACGACUGGGCGGGGUCGAAGAGCGGGUCCUUCUGGCUGUAGCACGCCGGCGCCGCGCACGGCGUGCACUGCACCCAGGACAAGUCGCUGCCGGUGUCCACCUCAAGCGUCUGCGCCACGCCCGGCGUGCCGAGGCUCACCGUCACCACGUAAUUGAGCGUGCCGAUGUUGAACCCCCAGUUCGCCGGCACCGUCGCCGUCGCCGCCUCGGCCUUGGAGUCCCACAGCUGAGGCGUGCCGCGCCCCGACACCCUCCGCAGUAUGUACUCCGCCCGGCGCUGGUCCGCGCGCAGCGUGUCAGCGACCGACGGGGUCGCCAGGGAGGACGCCCGCGAGGGGGCGCACGGCCCGUGCUUGUGCGUCAGCCGCAACACGGCGGACGUGCCGUUCCGCCGCCGCUGCGCAACUGAAACAUCACCGAAUUCCAGCCAACGAAUCAAUCAACACUAUCGAAAUCGAAGCUCCCAAGUCCCAACAAACACGAAGAAACUGAAGCAAGUAAGCAACUGAUGAAUCAGGCUGCCACAAUCCGCGUACCUGGGUCGAGGGAGCUGCACGUUGAGGACGGCCUGAAUCUGGCAGCGGAGACGGUGACGUAGCCGGGCGCCACCGCGGCGCCAUGGGAGCAGGGCAAGAAACCGAGCGCUCCGGCGCAGAUGAGUGACAGGAGGAGUGCGCGGCGCACCACGGGGGAGCUCAUUGCGCCUUGGUUCGGCUGGGACGGGGACAAAAGACGGCGCCUAAAUAAGGAGGGCAAAUCGGGCCGCCGUCCUCGGCGGUGCGACGCGCUAGACACGGGCGAGUGCGCCGGCCGGAGGGCGAGCCCAUCAUCUGUUGAAAUCUGUGGAAUUCUUGGUCCUUUGGCGCGGUUCGCGGUAGUCGCUGCUGCCCGUGUCUUUUCCACCGGCACGGCCAGCACUCGGGCACGAUGCGAUGCGAAUGGUCUUCUUUCGGUAGGUCCUCCCGCACCGGACACCUUGCCACAAUCGAUCCCAAGCCAAGUGCAUACAACUGCCCGAGGGCAACCGAAUUGACCUGUGAUCCAACAUAACACCAGUCAAUUUGGAUGGACUCGAUCAGGUCAGUUUGAUCGAACUUCCAUCGUCAGCUGUAUGCCCUUGGGUUUUGGUCCUUAAGUUUCAGCAAACUCGUCUUCUGGUACGAACGAACUCAACCAACCAACCGAGAACCGAACAGAUUCCUUUCCCAUGACAUCCUCUUCGCCGAAAAGAGAGCUCAAAGCUGUGGCGCCCAGUUCGUCACGGCACCCGGGGACCUUGUUCCCUACCCAUGACGGAGACCUUUAUCUACCGCUGGGCGAUCCCUUCUUUCCAGUGCGCGGUUUUGGGAUCUUGCUGGAGCCGGCGGCCGGGGGGGGCCAGGGCCGUGACGGCGACAUGAGUACAUGGCUCUGGGCUCUGGCUGUCCCAAAGGCGCGAUCGCCUUGGAGACGCAGACGCACCCAAUCGCCGCCUUCUCUGCGCGGACGCGCACUCCGGGUCUCUUUCGCCGGCGCCACUCGCCAGCACCCGGUCCGGCGGGGCGGCGGUCCACCACCUGAUGCGCGUGUGUCGCGAGGCUGACAUACGCAUACGCGCUUCUCGCGGGUUUGUUUCGCAAAUGCACGCGCGCUGCCUGCUGGUUUUGCCCCGGACGGCUGGCUCGGUGGAGAGCUGGCUUGCUGCUUCCAUGCAUCCGGUGAUCCAGUCCAUCUGCAUGUGGUGGAGAAGGGCCAAACAUAGCUGACGUGCUUGAGCGUGGUUGCAGGCCCAAAAAAAUAUCUGACGUGUUCAGGCGUGGUUUGCCAGAUCGGUCUUGGGUCUCUCCUGGUGAAGUGGUGGUGAGCAGCCUUGGUUGAAAUGUCUUGUUCAUAUAGUGGAGCGACCACUAGGCAUUCAGGUACGCACCCACGUUCUCCAUUUUGUUUGGUGCAGACAAAGUGAUCUGUAGAGAGUACACUAGAGACCUAGUACAGCAUAAGUCCAAUUGCGUACUCGUGGUGGUCGGUUUCAGAGUCAACCAUUAAAAUACUCCCUCGGUUCUAAAUUAUAAUAGGUUUUAACCUUUCUAGAUACAAUAAUUUUCUUAGAUAUACAUAUCUAAAUAUAUAGUAAAAUAAUGUAUCUAGAAUAGUCAAAAACAUCUUACAACUUAGAAGACACGAUGUUGGGGAGACAUACUGUCUUGUCACCUCCUCUUUGCCCUCUGCCGUCAUACGCUCAAUUUAUUCAACUAUUCUAGCAAGCACCCCAAAGACCCUCAAGAUGACAUGGAGUGAAAUGAUGAAGACGCUAGGAGCUUAGACCGAUAGGCGAUAACAUGGGCCCGAGUAGCGUGCUUACUCCAUAACCCAUUUCACUAUCAUUUAUGGGUGUCAUUUUGUUUAUAGAGUCAUUUGAAUAAAAUGGUUCUUUAUAUUUUUUUUCUCCUCUGAAAACUUAUCUAUAUGUUGUGCAUACUCUAUAAAGUUAGUCUUCCUCUCGUUCUUUAUCUUUGGCUAGUGAAAAUUUCAAAAUAAAAAAAUAGCUAUGCGUGGAAAUAUAAAUAAAGAAGUUUUUUGGAAGGAGUUUUCGUCAAAAAUUUCUAUUUCUAUCAAAUAGAAUGGAUAUAAAGAUGCCUUACCAUAGCCCAUAUACAGGUUGCCAUUACUUACGUUUACAAUCGGCUUGUUUAGUUCUGCACUUAAAUUUUUUCACCCAUCACAUCGAAUCUUCAAACAUAUGUAUGAUACAUUAAAUGUAGACGAAAAUAAAAACUAGUUGCACAGUUUACUGUAAAUUGCGAGACGGAUCUUUUAAGUCUAAUUAGUUCUUGAUUGGACACUAAUUUCUAAAUAAAACAAAAAUAUUACAGUAUCGAAAUCCAAAAAGUUUUUUGAUACAAAUAAGGCCUUUGUAAAGUUCCAUUUCAUUUCAAAUGAACCAAAAUUCAGUUCCAGAAUGUACAGCCAUGUACAGUAAGUUCAAUCUGGUUUUUGUAACCCUCAACCCCCAAAAUAUGAGUCGUGCAAAUUGUGCACAAUCCAUGACCAAAAGAAUACUGCUACGGAAAACAAAGAGGCCUCUGGAAGCCUGAACAAUCCUUCCCUCCCACGAUCCUGCCCAUGUCAGCUCACAAUCCUCUGAACAAGGGCCUGACGCUCACCAGUGCCUCCCGUCCCAUGACCCCCUGCCGGCGUCCCAUCUCCAUCUCCAUUCCGCAAUUCUUCCCCAUGCCAGGCCGCCGGGCAUGCACUGCCGCCCUCGGUCCUCCUUCAGGGCGUGGCCCCGUCGCCGCCACCGGCACCGCGGCCUCCAUUCUCUCGAACUGCGCGGACCACUUGGCCUGCACGUACGGCGCGCGCCUCCACGGCGGCACGUGCAUGCCCGCGCCGCGGAUAGACUCCGCCGCUGCGGCGCACAUUGCCGCGGCGAGUUCCUUCAGAGCUCCAGGCCUCGCCACGAGCACCGGCGGCAGGGAGGAGAGGAGGUCCUGGUACUCCGCGCUCGGCCUCGCGAUCUCGAACUCGGCUGCAACGUUGACCUCCACGAUGUAGCGAGACGGCAGCGGCGGCGAACCCACUGCCACGUCCACGUACUCGUACGUGCCCGGCGCCGGGAUGCUGCUGGUUCUUUCCCACGACGAUCUGCAGAGACCUGGAUGUAUGCCCAAUCACAGGAUAAACGUUAAUGACCCCAAGUUGGUAAUCUUGCGCUGUUAAUCUAUCGUGUCGAAUUGGGAGGUGGAAAUCAGAGUGCCCACAAUUUUGCUAAUGAAAACAGAAGAGCAGUAGAGCAUUACCGGCGUCGUAACCCCUCGCACGGAGCCGCUCCACAAGGUGUUUCCCGAUCCCGCCGCCGCCAACGACGGCCGGCCCAGCGCCUCGGACAAUGCGCUCCGCCUCGGCGCGGAUUCGUACGGCGGCCGCGUCGGCCGCCGCUUCCGCCAGCGUCAAGCGCAACGCUUCCUUCCACUCCGUGGUCUGGGACGCCACGGCAUCCUUGGUGGCGACGCCGUAGUCCGUGCCGUGCUCGCCGUAUCCGUUGUAGAACUCGUCGACCAAAUCCAUCAGAUCGUCGUCGGCGUCCGCACGGUCGGACCACGGCGCGAUGUCGCCGAUGAACGGGCCCCGUAGCCGCGCCCUCGCCGCCUCGUCUAGCGCCGCUGUUGCCUUCUUGUACGCACGCGAGAACUCCAUUGUCACCAUGCCGCCGAUUGCUGUGCCGAUCAAGAUCAAGGCCUUGGUGGAACGUCAAGAACCAAUUGUAUGGCCGUGGGCCCGUGGCUGAUUGUGUGUGCCGGCGAGCAACUCCCUCUUGCAGUUGGCGAUUGGCGUGUUGGUCGACGAGGGCGCCGGUGUUAUAUAUGUUUCGGUGGGCGUGCGGAGGCGUAGCUAGAACUAGAACCUGACUGUAAACGUGUCCAGGUUCAUCCUAUACAGCUUCCAUAUGUCCAGGUGCGAUGAAUUGGACGCAUCAUGUAAAGUCCGUGUUGUGUACUACUACUCCGUCACACUGCUCACUUGUCCAUAUACACGUACACUAUCACUGUCAAUUGGGCUGCUUUCCCCUGAAGGAAACUUGAAAUAAUAUAUGUUCAAUCAAACACGCUUCCAUGUACAGAUGGAUCAUCCCGAGUUUGUCCACUUCGGUUGAUGAUGCGUCCAGGUACAUCGCUCAUGAUUGUAAUCUGUAAGGUGCAUCACUCGUGAUUGUAAUACCGUAGAGAUGCUAGAGUAGUCCGUUAUAUUGAAAAAAGUAAAAGAGUAGUAAAAUGCACGUGACUAAAAGUCUUUAAAAUUUUCUUUUGGAUCUUCGAACUAAAACAUUUUCUCGAACUAAAUUUGGAUUCUUAAUCUGCCAUUAAUUUUCUUUUGGAUCUUCGAACUAAAGAAAUGACCAUUUGAAUUCUCAAUUUACUGUCGAACUUAACUAAGGUUCGAAAUCCAUCACGUCACCGCCAGUAGCCUACAAUAAAGUUUUAAAAAAAAUCUCUCCAUCUCUCCCCCCUUGCAAUCCACCUCCCUUUUGUCUGAUCUAUUGCCGGGGCUUCUAUAAAUUUUCACGUAGCCUCAAUAUCCAAGCUUGUACAACCACAUAGGCAUAAAUGUGACGUGGUGAGAUUUGGAUCUCUACUCAGAGUCUCAGACACAGCAUUAGUUGAAUGAACUAAAUUGUCUUCUCUUUUUUAGUUGGAGGACCCAAAUGAGAAUCCAUCAUAGAUUGAGAACUCAGAUCGUCACAUUUUUUUAGUUAGAGUAUCAAAGUGAAAAUCCAUGAAAAUUUUGAAGACCCAUUACUAAAGUACAAUUUGUGCCGCCGCCUGAUCUUCUCGUCAUAGUCGGAGGCAAAGUCGUACAAUCCAGUAUGGGACUACAGGUUACGCGUAGCACAUCACUGCAUACAUACGGCAUAACUAGAAAAUAUAGGAUGAAGAAUACGGGUAGGAAAUUUCAGCAGCUUUGCAGAAACUAUACGUGAAAAGAACAGAGAUAUCAGCGACUAACCAACGCUUCUAAGCGUAGAGCAUCAUAGCAACAGUACGACAUAACCGGAAAUAUAGGAUUAGGAAUAUGGGCAAGAACCUCCAGCAGCUUUGCAGGGAACAGAGAUAUGAGCCACAAACAUCUAUUACUACAAGUUGAGACUAAUUUCAUAGUCAUUCUAAAGAAAAGGUCGGUUGCCAAAGAACCAUUUCUCAAGUGACAAAGGGCAAAACCUCCCUGAAACCUAGACAGCCGAUGUAUUCGGUGCACUGAGCAGUUGGGUUUACUUCCGCAGCAAGGAGUACACUGCAACAUGGAGAUUGAACAGUGACAUCAUGAAACCAUCUUAAGAGCCGUCCAUCAGGUUCUCUGUUUUAGUUGGGUUUACCCCACCAUCACUAUUGUUAUCGUGAGGGUUAACUUCCGCUAUCCUCUCAGCUCCAAAAGUGAAAUUGGUGGGGUGAUCAUUUGGGUUGACUCGCUCAAAUAUGGAUGGCAUGGUCAUUUGGUUGAACAUAGGUGCUUGGAUGUCACCUGCUGGUUUUUCAUAACCAAAUCCAAGAGAAGCAAAUGAUUCAGUGGGAACCAAGGGUUGAGCACUGGGUCCAAAAAGCUUCAGCUCAUACUCCAAAAGCUCAUUCUGAGAAGCUGCACAGAAGAAACAUGUUAUAAUUACCAUUAACAAAGGGAAGGAAAAAUUUGAUAACUGCAUAAGUGGUUCUGUGUGUCAAGUUUCAAGCAAGAAAAGCCACAAGGGCGUGAAAGCUGUAAUAUUCAUUCAGGAUGUAUUAAUCUAGUCUCUGAAAAUUUGAGAACAGAGAUACAAACCACACAAUAAACUAAACAAUGUAUUUUAGCAGUGCUUAUUCACUAUGUAUAUACAGUAGACUGCUGUCAAUUCAGGUAGGAAAAAAAUGUUAACAUUUGAUAGGCAACGAACCAAGGAUUCAUAAUGCAAUAGAGAUGAUAUCUUAUACUCAACAAGCUUCAAAGGGUAUAUGAAGCUAACCAUCUGUCAGUUGAACCUGCGGUCUUCGGUCUUUCACCCAUUGAAAAGACUGUGCAAGUCUCCAUCCUCUAGACUUCAUCAAGAAGGCUGCGACAAUAGCAGCAGACCUAACAAAAUGUGUUCCAAAGAAGUAUUCAUCAACCAAUCGCAACAAAGCAGACAACGUAAAUGCUAAUAGAAGUUCUACACAAGCAAGUACCUGUUUUUUCCAGUCAUGCAAUGAACAAGAACACGCGAUUUAUCUCUUUCACAUUUCUCUAAAAUUGCAGAUAAGGAAAUCACAAUACCAUAUUAGUGACAAUAAAGAGGAAUAACAGCUCAGUACUUGAGAAGUAUAUUACAGUCCCUUCCCUUUUCCAUGAAAGUAAUUUUUAUUUGUGGAAACUUCAGAAAGAAGCACUUGAGGAGAAGGCUUAUGUGCAAUAUACAAGCAAAAAAUAACGUGGAACACAAAAGUACAUAUACAAAUGUCCACCCCAGCUUAAAAGAGACAUGAACCAGGUUUGAAUGGAAGAAGCAAUAAAAAAACCAGGUACAAAUAAUCAUAUAAUGAACCUCAACAGGCAGUUCGAAAAAAAUAGAAUUUGUUAGGAUGACAUGCAGAGGAUAUCUACUUGAGUUCAAUCCGGUAGCAACAUGCUUUUUACAGGGACAACUCCACAAGGGAAAAAAGAGUAGUUCACGACUAAGUGUACACUUAAUUCCACAACGAAAUGCUGAAAGAGUAAACAGAUAAUACCUAGAUACUGGUUUGCCUCGUCAAAAUCCAAAGGCCUGUCCCGUUGAAGACUGUGAUACGUGAAUGAAUUCUUGUAAAGAUUGUGGCAAUCAGGCACAGUCUGUUAAGCAAAUAAUAAGAAUAGUAAUCAAUCUUCAAAUAUCAUACUGAAGCAAGCUCUAAACAGUCAAGGACAAUAACUGAUUUUAACAGUGAGGCAGGAAUAUACAAAAAGUUGGCUGUCAGGUACGUGAGCCUGCAGAUUCACAAGAUAGUAACCACAUUGAGAAACUAGCCAGAAAUAAUAAUUGAUGUGGACAUGCUGUACAGCAUCAACAUGACAGCAACAUAACUAUUCCCUCUGUCCCAAAUUCGGUCGUUUUGCUUUUCUAGUUACAUAGCUUUUGCUCUGCACCGAGAUAUAUGCUAUGCCCAGAUACAUAUGCAUCUUGAAAAACCAAAACCUAUAAUUUGAAACAGAGUAUAUGGCUGAACCAAACAGCAUCCAUCUAUCUACUAUGAAGAUUACAUCAAAUUCAACUAGCAGUUGUAACAUGGUCAACAUUUAUGGAACAUAAUGAAUCAUGCGUAUCACUGUUUAACAAAAAUUAAUUAGCAACAUUCCAUAACCAUCAUGUUAUUCCACAUUAUCUCAAUGAACAUACUUCCAUAUCAGGUUCUGUUAAUUUCAGAUAUCAUAGGAACACUUGUCAAUUAAGAAGCCAAAUAUGAGUAAUCAUCACCACAGGCUACGCCUCAUUCCUUAAAUAUUUGUUAACUACCAAUUAUCACAAGUGAUUGAUUUUCUUCUAUCCAAUUCAAUCAAGCUCCACAUCAUUCAAUUGUCAAAUACCCCUGUUUGAGUUCCACAUCCAGUUCAAGUAAACCCCUCAUAUUAAUUGCCUUCCCAUGUUCUGCUUGCUCUUUCUUCACUUAAACCAACUUUCCAUUCGAGCAAAUAAAUAACAAGACUGUACAGGACAAACACAUUCCCGUUCUUUCCCAUAAAUAUAUAACCCAAAUUAAUAGCCCGUGGUCUCUGUGGAAGAUGACAAAGCACAGGUUGACCAAACUGUCCUCGAUGGACCAUGAAUGGUCAUAACAUGCCAAACCCUAGAUAGCGCCAGCAGCCCAGCCCAGCAGUACUAUCGCUCUCCAACUUCUUUAGUUCUAUUUGGACGGGGAAUCGAUCUUCAACUUUGGUGACCGGAACUUAAUAAUCAUCACAAACAAGGAAUCGGAUGGGGAUCAUCUAUAAAAGAGGGCUUGAACACGUACGUUAAGGAUGUGCGAGAUACUGAGCGUCCUGAGGACCUCGGAGCGUGAGGCGUUGUCGUAGCUCCCGAGGAAGAGGAACUCCUUCAGCACCUCUGUGGGGAAGGCGGACUCAUGGCUCGACGGGGCGCCCUCCCCAUCCGAUGGCUUCAAGCGGUGGCCGCACACCCCGCAGACCUCCCCCUCUUCGUACUUGUGGUAGUGACCGCAGAUCCCGCACGGGUUCUCCCGCUCCCGUUUCCUCAUCGCCUUCCUUCCCCUCUCCCGCCGCCGCCGCGGCGAUGCUAGGUCCCGGUGAUCGGCAGGAGGCGGUGGGAUCGUGCGGGUGCCUGGCUCGGAUCCGGGUCGAUUUGGGGUUUUGGGUUCGAGUUUUUGAGAAGAAAUAGCUGAUGACAAUGAAAUCGGUGGGGACGGGAUGUGCACGGUGGGACCGCCUCGUAAUCCGAUCGACGGACGGCUUCACGCUUCACAGUUCACACGGAUUUGUCAAUUGUCAGUUUGUCACGGGCUGCAGCUGUAUAGUGUGUGCAACCGUAAUGACACUCCCUCCGUUCCAAAUUAUAAGUCAUUCCAAGAAUCUUGGAGAGUCAAAGCAUUUGGUCAUAAGUUUGACCAAAAAUAUAGAGAGAAAUAUAAAUAUUUAUGUCAUAAAAUAGGUACACUAUGAAAAUAUAACUAACAAAGAAUCUAAUGAUACUUGGUUGGUACUAAAAAUGUUAUUAUUUUGCUAUAUAAAUUUGGUCAAACUUGAAAAACUUUGACUCUCCAAGAUUUUUGGAAUGACUUAUAAUUUGGGACGGAUGGAGUAUUCACUAACGAAGAGAUCAAAUAAAAUCUUUGUGUGUUAAUGUGAAGUACAGGCUGUGGCAAUAAUACCUAAAAGUUUUAAGUAGCUACUUAAAAUCUACACCUUCUCUGCCAAAUGUAAAUGAUCCACUCUAUCUACUUUAUACUCCCUCCAUCCUAAAAUAUAUUGCAUUCUGGUCAUUUUUAGACAAAAUAAAAAAGAGUGCAGCAGAACUUAACUUCCUAAUCGAAGUCUGAUUUUAUUUCCCAUGAUUAAAGGGUGAGCUCUCAGUCUCCUUAUACAAAACAUGGCGAGUACAUGAAUUAUUUUUCUUAAACAAAAUAAUUAUGUAUUUUUAUUUAAGUAAACAUUAUCUUCUUGUUCUCCGAAUACACUAUAUUUCAAGAUAAUUUUCAACUGCUAGAAUGCACUAUAUUUUAGAAUAGAGGAAGUAUGCUUUAAAGGUAUUGAUAAUCUGGUGGGAGAGAAGAAAGAAAAAGCUACAUUAUUAAUAGCAAGAGAUCACCUAUAUAGAUUUUUAAGGAUUUUGUAUAAGUCAUCCGUUGAAGAUGCUCUAAGGACUCUAUUCUUAGUGUGAUCAUCCAUGACUAAUUAAAUUGAUUCUUAGGCUAACAUAGGAGCCAAGAUGCUUGGGAUUUACAAAUUGUAUAGGUUUUGACUUUAAGUUUUAGAAACCAAUUGAACAUCCCCUCUUGGACCACUCGGUCCUUAUUACAACCUUUGUUUCCAUUCUGAGCAUCAUGAGUAUUCUUCUUAAACUUGUUCAACAUGAUCUCAUUUCCUGCCAAUGUAACAGGAGUAUCAUUAGAAAUACAAAGGAACAAGUACUACAUCUAGGAGAGGUGGAUACCUAUAUAAGAUGAUGACAUUUUCAUAGAUGAGGGAAGAGUGGUAACUCAACUAAAGAACAACCAUGGCAGACACUUCCUAUGUUCACUCCUUCUAUUUGGCCAUCACUUUGUGGAUGAUAAGAGUAGCCUUACACUUCAUCGCUUUGUGGAUGAUAAGAGGUACUGCUAUGCAAUUUCACCUCUAUGAGAAGAGAAUGAGUUUUGCUAGAGCUUACUAGUAAAGAUGCUCUCUCUAGUUUUAAUAUAUCAUCCAUAAAGAAUAUAGAGAUGUUCCCUAUUGAAUAUGGAUGGGAAAGAGUAACAAAAUGUGCAUACUUUGUAAGUUUGUCAACCACCACAAGGGUGACAUCUAUGCCUUUAUAGUUAGAAUAGUUUUCCACAAACUCAGGAGUAGUGUAUUGCCAUGCUCAAUCACGAGCCAGAAGUGGAUCCGGAGCCCACGAACGUGAAUAUGAUCUUGACAUGUUCUUUUCAUAUAUGUGAGCACUACACAGGCAUGUGAUGGUAGGAGUAGAUAUCAAGCUAGCUCGGCUCGGUCCAACUUGUCGUCCUCUAUUCCUAAUUCCUUACUCAUCAAAGAUGGAGAAUGAAGCAAGCUUUUUAGAUUAGAUAUAAGAUAUAGCCACAUAGGUAGCAAUUAGUCAUCGAUUCUUCAAAAUGAGAGUUAGAGUGAGUUUAAGAAAAAUUAUUGAAGAUGCUCUAAGAUUUGAUUUAGGAUGAAGUAGCUGCAAACUGACAGAAGGAUUGGAGACUUCAAGCGAGUGGCAUGAGUUAGCAGGCCGAUGGUGAUAGAUUGCUGUUAUUGCACGGGCGGUGCGGAGAGUGUAUGAGUGAAUGGAGUAAUUGGGACGGUGAACUGGAACCUAGAGGGUAGCGCGAGGCAAUGGCGCUGUGUGUUCGCCGGAGGCCACGGCUGAAUCACCGGCAGCAACCAUCGAAGGGAAACCCACCCGCCUAGGAGGCUUAUUCCUUCUUUGAUGAUUUGAUUACAUUGCGAAAGUGCCCUUUAUAGAUUAGGUGCACUAUAACAAAUUGAAAUCAAAUCUCCUAAAAAAUCCUGCUAGACGCCUGGGCCAGCGCCUUAUACUGGCACCCCACAAAGGCGUCCACAACAAUUGCACGGUAGACUGUAUCAAUUGAAACAUGGUCCGAGGUGAUGACGAAGGCAAAUAUCAUUAUUGUGACUUGAUAAUCCAGUCCUAACUCAGCUACACCCUAUCUAAUUACACCAUUACAGAUGAGCACAGAACAAAUAAAAGGGGAAUGUAAUUAAAUAGUUAGGAACUCAAGAUUAUCAAUCUACAUAAAGUACAACAUCACGAUUAUAUUUCCUGUGUUCUAGGAUUCUCUAACUACACCAGGAGGCAGUGGAUACCUGCAGAGUUUAGGAAAGCUCAUGUCAGCAGGAACGUAAUAUAUAUAUUUUUUUUGGUAAAAAAAUGUGGUGAUACCAGUGAACUACGAAUGGAGUGGGUCUGGUGAGCAUGUUUCCAAGGGGUACAGAACAAACCUCCUGGAAAAAUGGUUGGUGAUGGCUAAAUGUAUAAAGCUGUCCAAGAGAAUGUAGAGAACACAGUUGAUCACUGAUGUUGGUAAAAUAAAUGGUAGAUUCAGCAUAGUUCCAACUGUGAAAAGAUUUAAGAUAAGGUAAGAUACAGAUGUUCAAUCCAAAAGGCCAUGCAAGGUUUCAGUUUUCAGAGUUGGGGGAAAAACAUGUGCUGCAAUAAAUACAGGCCACUAAAGGUCGCCUAAGCAUACUUGUAACCAUGAGUUCAAAUAAGCUAAUGUGAUUGACAUAGCCAUAAUAAUUAAAGAAUAACCCGGAGCUACAAGCAUCAAUUUCAAAUUUC